rnacentral:lncRNA from 1 species
AGUGUUCAAACUGAAUUACUUUGAAUUAUUUACACAACUCUAAGAUGUAUUUAUGAUAAGGGAUGAGUUUGGAAUCCUUUGUUUUCCAUUCACCUUUUAGUUGAUAAAUGACUAGAGCUGAAUCUCCAAACACCCUUAAUGUUUCAAUUUUUCUAUCCAAAGUAGUAUGCAGCCCCAUAACACAAGCCUCAUAUUCAGCUACAUUAUUGGUGUAGUUGAAAUUCAAUCUUGCUGUAACAGGAUAAUAAUGUUCUAUUUGAGAUAUUAAAAAUGUUCCAAUCCCAUGUCCUAUGGCAUUGGCAGCCUCAUUGAAGUACAUUCUCCAUAUUUCUUCCUCGUCAUCAUCUUUUUCUUUUAACUUUGAGAUGGGCAUUAGUUCCUUAUCUAAAAAAUCAAGCUUUAUGGGCUUACAAUCAUUAACGACCUUAUCUGCCAAGAAUUCAACAAUGACACUUCUUUUGAUUGCUUUUUAGCUCAUAUAUACUAUGUCAUAUUUAGAAAGCAUCACCUGCCAUCUUGCAAUUCUUCCUGAUAGUGAUGGUUUCUCAAAGAUGUAUUUGAUAGGAUCCAUUUUAGCUAUGAGCCAAGUUGUAUGGUAAAGCAUAUACUGCUUGAGUCUUUUGGCUGUCCAAGCCAAAGCACAACACAUUUUCUCUAGUGAUGAAUACUUAGACUCAAACUCUGUGAAUUUCUUGCUUAGGUAAUAAAUAACUUUCUCUUUCUUGCUAGAUUCAUCUUAUUGGCCCAGUACAUAUCACAUUGAUCCCUCAUGUACCACUGUAUAGAAUCAAUGGUUUCCCAUAACAGGGGGUGCUAAUAUUAAAGGAUUUGAUAAGUGCUACUUAAUUUUAUCGAAGGCUAUUAGCUUUUUAGGUGAGAUGGUGAUCCAAAAGGGAGGUGAAUUAGAUUUCUCCAAAUUCUUCCCAAACAAUGAUUUCAAUGUAGUUGAAUGGAAAUUAAAACAAUAAGCACUUUUGAUAAAAAUAUAAUGCAACCAAUAACAAUUAAUGAACCUAAAAUCAAAUAGAAACAAUAAUAAAUUGAAAUGAGAUAGGCAUAGAGAAAUCAAACAUAAUGAUUUAUAGAGAUUCGGUCCUUCUCCACAAGGCACCUACGUCUUUUCUUCUUAGUUAUCCACACUAAGGCUUUAAUCCACUAUUCUUGAAUUGAAAAUACAACCUAUCUUUUUCUUUUUAAGGCUUAAGAUAGAAACCUCUACCCUUUGUAGUUUUUUAUCCAAUCUCACUACAAAGCUCUCAAGAGGAUACCUUACCUCUUGUUCUCUUCCACCCUUGCAUAUCAAAGGUAAUUUUGCAAACAAUAGAACAACCUCUCUAAGGCUAAGUGUUUGCUCAUUUUAAGUACAAAAAAAUGAUGAAUGAACAACAAAUAUAAUUUGGAUACAAUAAAUACAAAGAUAUAGACUUUGAAGCUCUAAAAACUCUUGAUUAUUUGAAAGAAUGAAAAUAUGGCUUGUUGGCUCUUGCUCUCUUGAUGCAUCAACCUUCUUGGUGUGUUGGAGUGCCCAAUUUAUAGAGAAAUUGAAGGAGUAGCCGUUGGGGAUGCUUGGGAGAAGAAAAUAGCCAUUGAAAGCAUGAAAAAAUAACCGUUGGUGUGAUUCUACCCAGACCCGAUCGAUCUCUUCCUUGAGGGGAUCGAUUGCUUCAAGUUUUAUGUCAUUUCAUGUUUAAAAAACAUGACCUGAUCAAUCCCUUUCAUGAGGGGAUCGAUCUUGUCAAUGGCUGGGUGGUUAUCUCCCAUUUUACACUCUACUCACUAAUUUGAUCAUAUCUUGAGUUAUAUAAAUCCAAAUCACAAACCGUUUGAAGAUUUAGAAACUAGACUUGAAGGCCUUUCUAUUCUUAUAAAAUUGAUUACUAAUUCUUUAAGUAUGAAUUAUAGUGAAUUUUCAAAUUUACUUUUAUGCAAUUUUUCUGACAACUAUAAAGUGUAGUAAAAAUUCAAAAUCUUUUCUUAGAAAAUUUGGAUUUUGAUUUUGUUUAAUCCAUUAGAAAGUAGACUCAAAUAGCUUUCCAACCAUAUAAAAUUCAAAUAUUAACAAUUUUUGAAUUAAUAUAGAAAGAUAAAAUAAUUUCAAUGUUGGAAAACUUUGUUCUUGUAAAACAGCUUUCUUAAGUUAAUCUAUUUCUCAAAACCAAUAUUGUCAAAAUUGUAUUAAGUCCAAAAUGAAUAAGUUCACUUUAAAAACAACAAUUGGACUUUCAUUUAAGCUCAAAUAAAUAAUCUUUAAAGGUAGAUUUGGUUUGAGAAAUAUGAAAACAAAGAAAGGUUUGUUUAAGCUUUAAAAAUCAUAUUAUUUAUUUAGUACCAAAAUAUAAAACUUAAGAACAUGUACUAAAUAAAUCUUUUUCAAAAUCUUAAUCAAGCUUAUUUAGCUUAAUAUUUUCAUUUCAAAAUAAGGAUCAAUUCAAGGCUAACAAAGGCUUUUUGGCAUUGUUCAUUCCACUCCUCAAGAUUAUUCUUCCGAAAGAGUUUGAAAAUGAGGUCACAUUUAAGAAUGAGUUGAGAAAUGAAUCAGGAUAUAUAGUUCAAUCUGCCCAAGAAACCUCUAACCCCCUUUUGUGUGCUUGGCGGAGAUAAAUUCUGGAUAGCCUAAAAUUUGUCUAGAUCCACUUUUAUCCCUCUUUCACUAACUAUAAAUCCUAACAGCUUUCCUAACUUAGCUCUGAAUGUAUAUUUGGUCGGAUUUACUUUAAGUUGGAACUUCCUCAACCUUUCAAAUAAUUUUUUGAGAUUGACUACAUGAUCCUCUCUUUUUCAGGAUUUGGUAAUUAUGUCAUCUACAUACACUUCAAUCUCCUUAUACAUCAUAUCAUGAAAUAGUGUUACCAUAGCCCUUUGAUAGGUUGCCCUAUCAUUUUUUAGUCCAAAGGGCAUAGCUUUGUAGUAGAAAUUUUCUUACAUAGUGAUAAAUAUGGUCUUUUGCAUAUCAUCUCGGGCCAUCUUUAUCUAAUUGUAACCAAAGAAUCCAUCCAUGAAAGAGAAUAUCGAAUAUCGGGCUAUAUUAUCCACCACAGUAUCAAUGUGAGGCAAAAGAAAAUUGUCUUUGGGGCUAACUCUGUUCAAAUCUCUAUAGUCUACACAUAUUCGUACUUUUCCAUCCUUUUUGGGAUAGGUACUAUAUUAGCCACCCAUUUAGGAUAUUUGGCUACUUGCAAGAAGCCUGCAUCAAAUUGCUUUUUAACUUCCUCUUUGAUUUUCAAUAGCAUCUCCGAUUUUAUUCUUAUUAGCUUUUGCUACACCAGUUUGCAUUCUGGCUUUAAUGGUAGCCUAUGUUCCACUAUUUUAGUGCCGAGUCCAGGCAUAUCUUGGUAAGACCAAGCAAAUACAUCCAUAAACUCUUCGAGCAAAAACUCUAACCACUGUCGAUCAACAACUGAGAGUGAAGUACCAAUCUUGACUUUUUUCUUAUUUUUAGCAUCACUCAAAUUGAUCAAUUCAAUAACUUCUUGAUGAGGCUCAAUAGAUUUAUCUUCUUGUUUAAUUAGCCUUAUUAAAUCUAGAGAUAAAGUGUAUUCCUCAAAUCAUCUUCAAUAUCAAGUUCAUCGGUAUUAAUUGAAUUUUCAAAGUUAAACUUUGGAUCAUUGUCAUGUUUACCUUCGCAUUCAUUUGGGGGACCUGAAAAUUAAUAGAAUAGGAAAUAUUGGCAAGAAACUCUGAUGGGGUAAUGAAUGGAAUGGAAGAAAUGAACAAAAUGCAUGCUCCUAUUUUUAUUGAAAUAAUGAAAAAUAAAAAGCCCAAACAUAAGAGUUUAUCCUAAUGCUUUUGGGCAUAAGCAAUUAGGAGAUGUGAUUACAUUGAAGAAAAAUAGGAGACAAUAGGCAUUUAGAUGACCAUCCAAUUUUGCAAUUCAUAUCUUGGCAGGCAAGGGUAAACCAAAGCGUCUCAUUUCGACUUUCAUUAUCCACCAUCUGAAUAGAUAGCUUAGCAAAAGCUUCCUUCCAUUUUGGUUCUUUUUUGUGUCUUCUUCAGCUUCUUAUUGCAUGUAUCCUCUAAGAAUGAAAGUUUCAUUCAAAUUAGGAAAGAUCAUUAGUUUUUCCUUCACCCUUCUACUGUGGCUUGGUACUUCCUCCAUUUCAUUACCUAGCCCUGCUUUACCACUAUUGUAUUCAAGUUUCGGGAACUCUCUUAUCCCUUGAAGAUUCUUGGCCAAACCAAACCUAAUACUCUAACCUUUAUUAACCAUUUAAUUGAUCACAAUUCGGCUAAAUUUAAGUCCUUUACCCAUUAUAUUAACAGGUUCAAGAGAUCAGUAAGAGCACUCCAAUGAUUUUUCUACUACUUUCACAUAUGGAGCAUUUAUAGGUUGGGUUACCAGUAAGUUUUCUUCCUCAGUUAUGAUCACUAAUUGUUUUUUUACAUUAAAUUUGAUCUUUUGAUGUAGUGUGGAAGGGAUGACACCCACUUUGUGGAUCUAUGGUCUUCUCAAUAAGCAACUAUAUGAUGGAUAGAUAUUCAUAACCUAAAAUUUUAUGUUGAAUACACAUAGCCCAAUCUGUAUAGGCAACUCAACAUCUUUUAAGACCUCUCAUCUAGUCCCGUCAAAUGCUCGGACCACCAUUUGACUAUUCUAGAUAUAGGACAUAUCAAAGGGUAACUUGGCUAAAAUAGACAUAAGCAUGACAUUAAUAACUGAUCCAUUAUCAAUAAGGACUUUAGCUACUAUAUGGUCUUUACAUUUAACAGUGAUGUGCAACACCUUGGUGCUCAUUCUAGCUUCAGGCAGAAUCUCAUCAUUGCUAAAAGAGAUGUGAUAUGGCACCACUAGAUUCCUCUCUAAGUGAUUCACAUACUCCAAGGAUACAUUAUAGGCCACAUAAGCCUAAUUCAGUACCUUUAAUAAGGCAUUGUGAUAUGGUUCAAAAUUUAAGAGAAGUGAUAGUAGAGAAAUUUUAGCUGGCAUCUUAUUUAGUUACUCCACUACAGAAUAUUCGCCAUGCUUAAUUAGCUUCAAGAACUCACAAGCCUCUUUUUCAAGCACAGACUUUGAAACAUCUUUCUCUAGAAUCUCUAGCUCAGCCUGCUUCCCUUUUUUUUUUCUUAUUUUUUCUAAAGUCUUUGGAGUGUAACAUCUUCCACUCUAGUUAUGCCUCUUACUCCUGUUAUGUUGGCAAAUUCAGAUUUUGGCAUACCCUUUGUUACCUCUGAGUCAUUGUCUCAUAGUUAUACCUCCAUGGUACUACCCUUUCAUCUUUGUAAAGGAAUGGGCAUGGAGCUUUGAAAGCUAUUGGUUUGGGGACAACCCUAUCCCUAACUGAUUGUGUUUUCUUUUUACAGUGUAUGGUGAUAGGUUUUGGCACCCAUCUAUCUGUUAUAGCCACCCUAAUGUCUUCUGAGGCUCUUGACUUUUCAUAUAACUCUAUUUGGUGAGAGUCCAUCAAUUUUUGAACUUCACUACAGAAUUGCUUGCAGAUUUCAAUUGAGUGUCCAAAUGCCUCAUCAUGAUACUUACAUCUUUGAUUUAGGAUACAUCUUUCCACAUAAGUGCAUGGAGCCACUGGUUGUAUCAUUUUAGCUUUACAUAGGGUUUCGUACAGUUGAUCAAAUGGCAUCUUAAGCUCCUCUACUCUCUUUUACACAUAUUUUUCACCCACAUCCAAAACGUUAACUACAUGACUGGGUAGGGGAUUCUCACUAACAUUAGGUGCUGAAUUCCCACUAGUGUCAAAGCUUAUCAAUCCUUUCUUGAUCAGAUUUUGUACCCUAUGCUUAAAAGGUAUACGAUUCUCAGUAGAGUGUUCUGCCACUCCAAAAUGAUAGUCACAGUGAGCAUUGGAAUCAUACCAUUUAAGGUAAGAAAGUUCAAGCUGUUUAGUAGGUACGAGGGUAAUUAAAUGUUUCUUAUAAAGUUCUUGGUAUAGCUCCGUAUAGCUUAUGGGUAUAGGAUCAGAGGUGGAUUUUUCCUUGGUUCAUGGUUCUUUGACAUUACCUAUAGUGGUGACUGGGUGAGCAGGGGAUCUUGGUAAAGAUGGAUAAAAUGGUCAGAUGGUUGAUUGGUAAGGAGAUACAAAAGUAUGAUUCACUCUGUGGUGGUAUAUAGGGUAGGUAGGCCAAGAGUAGUUUUUGAAUUGCUAUUAUUUAAGACUCACAGCUUCAGUUUCACUCUCCUUCUUUUUAAGUGCUCUUUUGGAAGACUCAUCUCCUUUAAGCUUGCCAUUUUUUAUGGCAUUUUCGAUGAUCUCUCCCGAAAUCACCAUAUUAGCAAAGUUUUUAGUUGUGUUUCUAAUCAUUAUUUCAUUAUAUGGCAAUUUUAAAGCGCUUACAAAUAGCAUGAUAGUUUCUCUCUGUUAAGGAAGGUUGCACUUGAGCAAUUAUAUCUCGUCACCUUUGGGCAUAUUCCUUAAAAGACUCAGAUCUUUUUUUCUCUAUACCUUGUAUUGAAAACCAAUCAGGGGCCAUAUCUAUGAUGUGACAAUAUUGAUUGAUGAAAGAUCGAGUCAAAUCUUUUUAUAACUUAAUACAAGUUUUAUCCAAUUGGACAUACCACCUUGUAGUAGACCCAGUUAAGCUAUCCUAGAAUACAUGCAUUAGUAAUUUCUCAUUGCUGGCAUGUGCUACCAUUUUACAAUAGUACAUUAUGAUACACAUAAUGGUGAUACGCGUAAUGGGGCACUUGGUACGUCAUACUUCUCAAAUUUUAGUACCUUAAAUUUUGAAGGAACACAAUAUCUGAAACUAAACAAAGGUUGGUAGUAUCCAUGGAUCCAUAGAAAUCAAUGCCUUCUAUAGCCCAUAACCUUUUCUCAAUCAUGCUCAUGGCUUGAUCGAUCUGAGAGUUUUCUAGGGGUACAGCCAUCUACAGCUUUUCUUUCUUUCUAAUAUCAUCUAUUUUGGGAAUUUGAAUUGGCUCAUCUACCUUUUCAGUGAAAAAGAUUGGUAUAGCUCUGACCAUUCAUUUGAUUAAAAUUUAGGAAUAUGAUCUAUUAUUGAUGAAAGCUUGGAGUGACUCAAGUCUGAUGUAGAGCAAAACUUGAAGGAUAUAGUAACUUAGUAUCUUUAUGUGAGAUGCCUUCUUUUAUUUCCUAUCCUCUAUUUCCUUUUUCCAAAGCUUCUAGGAUUUUGCUCAAUUUUCCUUCAAGUAUCUCUUGAGUCUUUUCUAUUUUUUCAAGCCGAUCUACAUUGUCUCGCUCCAUUUUUUUUACUUUAACUCGAGUGUAGUACUGGUGUUGAGCUAUCCUUGAACCUUGAUUUCCUACAAUUAUGGUGCAAAUUUAGGAUAAUGUUUAUAGAUCUAUUAGAUCAUGCAUGAUAAUGAAUGCAAUGAUGCAUGAAUACAUGCAUACACAAUAAAAAAAAGUUAAUAAGCAUAAUAUGUAAUCUGCAUGUAUGUUUAUGAAUAUGCAUAAAGAGAAAAUAAGACAAAAAAAAUCAGUUAGUCACUUUAAAAUAAAGAAUAAACACUACAAAGCAAGUAAAAUAACAACAUGACCUUAGAUUUGGGUUAACUAUAAAGGGUGGAAAGACAUGACUCUAUCUAUGGUUAGGCUCUUAAAGUUAACUAUAUAUGGUUUGGACAACCUUUAAAAGGUUCUCAAAUUGUUCCUUACAUCAUAGUCUAUCACAGACUAGUAAGGAACCUUGAUCCUCACCCAUCAUAGGCUACAAGUGAAAAGGGUCCAAUCUGAGUGGGAGUGUUUGGCUGGCCUAUGCGAAGACAUAAAAUCUCACGAAGGUAUAGGUACUUCACUCCCUCCUAAAGGUAAAGCUCGAGUGGAGAGCUUAUGUUAUGUGUAUGCAAAUGAGUGAUUGGUAUAGAUACAAUAAAUAAAUAGUUAAGUAGAUAUAAGCAAUGAAGAAAAAAAAAUGAGUAAUUAAGCAAGUAUAAAUAGUGAAAAAGAAAAAAAUGAAUAAUAAAGCAAGUAUAAGCAAUGAAAAAAAAUAAAAUAAUUUUAAGUUUAUUAAGAAAGGCUUAGAUAAUAAGAAAUCAUUUACUAGCCUGACUCUCGAUAUCCCUAAUGGAAUCGCCAAACUGCCAUAACUUAUAAAUUCAUAAACCUAUGGCUAGACAUGGAUUAGAAGGGAGUCGCCACCAAUCUUUUUUGAUUAGGUGUGAUUGGCCAUCUAAAACAUAUUCUGGUCUGUGAAAAUAGAUGUUACGUUCAAAAGUCGAUUAUGCAUAGGAAAUGUUAUAGCACUCCCACAAUGCCCAUCCGAAGGAUGGUACCAGUUUGAUUUCAAAUUAUCCAAGCCUUGACCAUUUUUAUUAUUUACCAAAUAAUUUAAUAUUGAAAAUUAAUCUCAAAAUUGUCCUAAUAGUUUGGUAUCAAUUUAAGAUAAUUUUUCACCUUAGGAUUUUCAUGGAAACUGGUAUUUCACUCUGAGGAGGCUCUAUCGUCAGAUUUAUUAAUAUACUUUUAUUCAAAAAAAUUAGUAAAGCCUCCCAAUUAUUUGGUAGGACUUACUUCAAAGCAAUCUUCCAAUAGUUUAAAGAAUAAAAAUUAUUUUUGUUUAUUUGAAAAAUAUUUUUUCUAUUUUUAUUGAAAUGAUUUUUUUAUUUAUUAUUUUUUUAGAAUUAUUUUUUUCUUCUUUUUUUUUUUAGAAAUAAAAUGGCAGAAAUAACAUUUUUUGAAAAAAUACAACAAGAAAGAAAUAAUAUAAAAAAUAAAGGAAAUAAAACGGGUUAAAAAUAAAAUAAAAUAAUUAAAAAAAAACCUGUGAUCGAGUCGGGUUGAAGUGCAGGUCUACAUACGAGUCACUGGGUCUAUGCACAGAUCCUAGCUUAUCUAAAAUGACAUUACUCGGUAGUAGUAUAAAAGCAAGGCUUUAGUGUUUUUCUUCAAAAGCCUUCUAUUCCUUCUCUCUCUCUACCCUAGCUUUUCCCUAUUUUUUCUCUAGAAAUGUCCAUCGAAAACUUUAAUCGAGGAUUGAAAUUCCAUCGAUUUUUGGAAAAAUUCUAGGAAAUUCAACCAAAAACUAGAAACUUGUCGAUUUCUAGAAAGUUGGCCAAAAUAUGGUCGAACAAUUCAAUCGGUUGUCAAAAACUACGUCAGAAAAUUCAAACUCGUCGAAAAAUUUCACCGAAAAAUUUAAAGUUCUUCCUAAACCUAGAAAAACCCAAAACAAUUUGAAAAAAAUCCAAAAAAAUCCAAAAAACUUCCCAGAUAGCUUUAAAUCUUCCCUGAACCUUUUGCAACCUUAAAUUCACCUCCAAAAACCUAGAAUCACAUCCAUAACUAUGAAUUAAACCCUAAAUCCUAACUUCCAAAUUUCAAAAACGCUUACUGCCAGAAUUUUUUUCAAACCUUUUUUUUCAAAAUUUUCUAUGUGUUCUUCCUCUAUAGGGUCAGUCCAAUUUAUAAGCAAUCUUAAGAUCGAUUUUGGAAAUGGACAGAAUCAAUCCCAAGCUUGAAUCUUGGGAUUAAUUCUGUCCAAAUGGGAUUUUAGGUCCCAAAAUUUUAGCAAUCAUAUUGAUACAAUCCUGCAUUAAAAACUUUGACCAUGUAGGAUUCCGAUUCUGAUUUUCUUGUUCACAUGCAAAUUGGAUCCAAAAGGAAUAAAGAAAAGAAAGAGAAAAAAUAAUAACAAUAGUAAUAAAAAUAGCAUAAUAAUAUAAUAAGAAUAUAAAUAUAUACACAGAAAUACCAAAAAAGGAAAAAUAAUAAAAUAAUAAUAAUAAUAACAAUAAUAAUAAUAAUAAUCAAAUAAUAGUUACAUUAAUAAAAAGAAUGGGCUUAAUUAGGCUCGACACAAAUGGGCCUAAUUGAGCCCAAACACAAAUGGGUGUCUACAACGUACUAAGAGAAGUGUUGAUAAAGUUAAAACCCCGAUGGGUCAAGUGUUCAAAAACUUGGUCAAAAUUGACAUGCUCCACCCAAUUCCAUUGAAACAAUUGAUUUAUCAUAAAGACUAUGAUCUAGCCCAAACAUGUAUCUAUCACAUAAAUAUGAUAGGACACUCAAUUCAGAAUUGUGGUGUAUUUUCGCCCAGUGCUGUAAUCAAUGGUGGAUUUAUCUUUGGUAAAGUUUUAUGAAGAAAUGAUCAGAACAUAGUGAAUGCAACAGAAAGAAAGUCUUCAGGGAGUUUGCCCUCUAAGUUUAUGCUUAGGUCUGUGAUGAUUUAUUUUAAUGAAAAACCAAGUAGAGUGUAAGGGCAAUCCUUGAUUAAUGCAGUAGGAGGAAGAUCUUUGGAAAGAAUGUUCCUCAAGUUUUUGCCUAAACCAAUAACUAUCCUUUGCAACCCAAAACCAAGCUCGGUGAAAGAACAACCCAGUUCUUUUCCCAUGAAAGCUAUAACAAUUCGAGUCCUUAGCUCAUUCCCUUAUCAAAGUAAUAAGGCAAUGCUAUAGAAGUAUGAUUAUAUUGUCAUGGCACAAGAAUCAAAUGACUGUCAGGUUGCAAAUGACCUAAAUGCCACUAGUACUGCAAAUAUAACUAGGGUAGGUGGAAUGACAAUGAGUGGAAAGUGUUAUACUCUUAAAAUCAUAAAGAAGGCUUAAAAAGGAAAAGCUAAAAAAUGAGAAGAGAUAUUGGGAUAAGGAGACAAGACUUAUUUUGUAAUGGCUCAAGAUGCACGAUAUAAAGAACUUAUCAUUGAAAAAUAAGCCUGUAAAUUUUUAAAGUUGAUCAAAAAUAGUGAAUAUAACAUAGUAGAGCAGUUGAACAAGAAGUUCACUCGAAUUUUUUUAUUGUCCUAUUGUUGAAUUAUGAAGCACAUAGAAAUGCCCUAUUGAGAGUGUUGAAUCAAGUAUAUAUGGACUGUAAUAUCUCUGUCAAGAAUGUUGACCACAUUAUGGGGAGUAUUAUGGCUCAGAAUUUCAUAACUUUCAAUGAUGAUAAGAUUUCACUAAAAGAACAAGCAGUACCAAGGCCCUUUAUAUCACUACAAAUUGCAAAAGCCAUAUCAUAGCUAAGGUUCUUAUUGACAAUGGCUCUUCAAUCAAUAUCAUGCCUAUGAUCACCUUAAUAAAAUUACCCAUUGACAUAUUGCAUAUAAAGACCAGCCAUAUGGUAGUGAGAGCUUUCGAUGGGUCUCGAAAAAAAGUGUUAGGGGAGAUUGAAAUACCAAUGCAAAUAAGGCCAUGCACUUUCUCUAUAUAAUUUCAAGUCAUGGAAAUUUUACUAUCUUAUAGCUGUUUAUUAGGACAACCAUGGAUUUAUAUGGCAAGAGCUGUUCCAUCUUCUUUAUAUCAAAAAGUAAAGUUUAUAGUUGAGGAUCAACUGAUUAGUGUUUUUGGAAAAGAAGACUUAUUAGUAACCAAGCCUAUGACUACUCCAUAUGUGGAGGCUAUAGAAAAAGCACUGGAAUGCUCUUUUAAAUCAUUUGAAUUCAUUAAUGCAACUUAUGUAGGGGAAGGGUCGAAAUGGCAUGCUUCAUGUUUAUCAAAUGUAAUUGGAAUGGUCAUCAAACAAACACUUGGUAAAUGAUGGUGUGUUGAACACAAAAUUUGAAAGAAUUGGCAAGGAAUCAAGGAGCCACCAAGAGUAUUUGAAAAUCAAGAAAAGUUUGAUUAGGAUUUAAAGUCACUGUGAUAGAGAGAAAGAGAGCCAUGGUUGAAAAGAGAGAGAAGAGAUUAGCACGGCUUAAGGGACAUAAGUCAGAGUAUAAAAGAAUGAUCAUCCCUUACCUCUAUGAUACAUUUUGUUCAAGCAGAUAUAUUCACCCUAAUUUGCUGAAGGUUAAAUAAAAGGAACCUAUGCUAAACAUGGAAGAAACCUUUUUCGAACUCUAUAGUUAUAUGGUGAGAGAUGCAGUAACAAUCAUUGAGGAAGAUAAGCCUCUUAUUUAUCCAUUUCCUCUAGGUGAAGAGCUGAACAAUUGAAAAUCAAUGGAGUUGCUAGUUAUCCUUAAAUCUUUCACAAAGUAAUGUAGUGAAUUAAUUUUUCCCAAUGUUUAUGCCUAAGAGCAUUUGGAAAAAUUUUGCAGGAACUUAUCUUUCCUUUAUCAUUUCAAUAAAAUGACUAGUGUUUUGUAUUUAUGUUUCCUUUAUUAUUUCAUUCAUUUAAAGUUACAAUUUUUUCCACAGAUAUGCCUACAUCCUUUCAAUUUCAUCGAUUUUUAGAUUUUCAAAUAAUGAAUACAAGGAUAAUCAUGACGACAAUCCAAGAUUUGACUUUGAAAAACUUAUUCACAAUAAUGAAAUUGAUGAUGAAAAGGAUUCGGAUGAGGACAAUUUGCCCCCAGAUUUAUUAUAACUAAUGGAAUAAGAAAUGAAACAAGUUGAACCCCAUGUAGAAGCUACAGGCAUAGUCAAUUUAGAUGAUGAGGAAAAUAAGAAGGAAGUUAAGAUUGGUAUAUCCCUUUCACACACAAAAAAAAGAAAGGUUGGAAGAAUUGCUUCAUGAGUUUAUUGAUGUCUUUGCAUGGUCAUACCAUGAUAUGCUAGGACUUAAUUCAGAUAUCGUAGAUCACCAAUUGCUAUUGAAGCUAGAAUGUAAGCCAAUACAGUAGAAAUUGAGGCUCAUGAAGCCGGACAUAUUGUUAAAAAUCAAAGAAAAAGUAAAAAAAAAUAAUUUGAUGCAAGCUUUUUGGAUGUAGCCAAAUACCCAAAAUGGGUAGCUAAUGUACCUAAUUCCUAAUAAGGAUGAAAAAGUUCGAAUGUGUGUAGACUAUAGAGAUUUGAAUAGAGCCAGCCUACAAAAUAAUUUUUCUUUGCCCUAUUUUGACACUCUUGUGGAUAACACUACUAAGCACUCCACAUUCUUUUUCAUGGAUGGUUUUUUUUUUAUAUAUAACUAAAUUAAAAUGGCCCCUGUAGGUAUGAAAAAAAUUAUGUUUGUUAUCAAGUAGGGCAUAUUCAGUUAUAAAGUUAUGCCUUUUGUAUUGAAAUAUACAAUAGCUAUUUAUCAAAGAGCAAUGGUAACCAUUUUCCACAACAUAAUGCAUAAAGAAAUAAAGAUGUAUGUAGAUGACAUGAUUACAAAAUCUCAUGAGGGAGAGGACUAUGUUAUCAAUCUCAGGAAGCUGUUUAAAAGAUUGUGGAAGUAUCAACUCAAGCUAAACCCAACUAAGUGCACAUUUGGUGUUAAGUCAAGAAAAUUGUUAGGGUUUAUAGUUAGCGAGAAAGGCAUUGAAGUUUAUCCAAAUAAGAUACUUGCCAUCCAAAACUUAUCUCUCUCAUGCAUGCAAAAAGAAGUAAGGGGUUUUUUGGGAAGGUUGAAUUACAUUUCCCACUUUAUUUCUCAACUUACUUCUAAAUGUGACCUAAUUUCAAGUUGCUUCAAAAACAUGAUCCCAAAAAAAUGGGAUGAGGAACGUCAAUAUGCCUUUAAAAAGAUUAAAGAGUACCUGUUAAAUCCAUCAGUAUUGGUACCGUUUGUUGCAGAAAAACACUGAUUUUGUAUCUCAUGGUGCACAAUCGUUCUAUGGGAUGUGUGUUAAGACAACAAGAUGAAACAAGCAAGAAAGAGCAAGCUGUCUAUUACUUAAGUAAGAAGUUCACUAAAUAUGAGUCUAAAUAUUCCCAAUUGGAAAAUUGUGCUACACAUUAGCUUGGACAGCCCAUAAACUCAGGCAAUAUAUGUUAUACCAUACUACUUAGUUGAUAGCAAGGUUGGAUCCUCUUAAGUAUAUUUUUGAAAAGCCAUCAUUAUUGGCAAGGUUAGCAAAAUGGCAAGUCAUGCUUUUUGAAUAUAAUAUUGUAUAUGUGCUACAAAUGGUGAUCAAAGGAAGUGUGAUAGUUGAUUUCCUUGCAGAGUGUGCAAUUGAUGAUUAUGAGCUUAUGAAAUUGAACUUUAUUGACGAAGAUUUAAUGACCAUAACCCAAAUAGAGAAAAAGGAGCCAAUUGAAAAGCCAUGGAAAAUGUUCUUUGAUGGAGCUUUGAAUGCUUUUAGGGAUAGGAUUGGAGUAGUUUUGAUAUCCCCUGAUGGAAAUUAUUAUCUAAGCACUGCAAGGUUGGAUUUUAAUUGCACCAACAAUAUGGAAAAAUACAAAGCAUGCAUAAUGGGCUUGUAAAUGGUAAUUGAAAAGAAGAAUGGAAUGUUAGAAGCAUAUGGAGACUCAGCCUUGGUAAUCUAUCAAUAAUACGGUGAAUGGAAAACAAGAGAUUCAAAAUUGGUAUGUUACCAAAAGUAUGUGGUAGAUUUGAUCAAACAAUUUGAGAAGGUCCAAUUCUGUCAUGUACCUUAAAAAGAUAAUCAAAUGGCUGAUGCUCUGGCUAUAUUGGCUCCGAUGUUUAAAGUGUGUGAUAAAAUGGAAAUCCAACAUAUCUGGUUAAAUGUGCAAGGAUCACCGACAUAUUAUUUAACUAUUGAAUAGGAGAUUGAUGGCCUGUCUUGGUACUAUGACAUCAUACAAUAUGUCAAGCACUUACAAUACCCAAAACAAAUGUCAAAAAAUGACAAAUGAAUUAUCAAAAGAUUGGCUAUGGGAUUUUUCCUUGAUGGAGAAAUUUUAAAUAAGAAAAGUCAUGAUCAAAUGUUAUUGAGAUGCAUGAAUGUUGUUUAAGCCAAGAAAAUAUUGUAAAAAGUGCAUGAAGAACUCGUGGUAAACAUGCAAAUAGCCAUAUGAGGGCUAAACAAAUCAUGAGGACAGGUUAUUAUUGGUUGAUAAUGGAAAGUGACUGUAUCACUAUGCUAGAAAAUACUAUAAAUGUUAGAUUUAUACAAAUAAGAUUUAUACUCCUCUAAUCCCUUUACAUGUUCUACACCUCCAUAGCUAUUUUUCAUGUGGGGGAUAGAUGUAAUUAGACCCAUCAUUUUAAAAGCUUUAAAUGGACAUCGAUUUAUCUUUAUAGUGAUUGAUUAUUUCACAAAAUGGGUCGAAGUAGCUUCUUAUGCUAAUGUGAUAAGGGUAAUGGUAUGCAAGUUUAUAAAAAGGGGGAUAAUAUGUUGAUAUGACCUUCCAAAAAAAUCAUUUCUGAUAAUGCUUGCAAUUUGAAUAAUAAGAUGUUAGAAGAUGUUUGUGCUCAAUUUAAAGUGAAACACCAUAAUUCAGCUCUAUAUUGCCUAAAAAUGAAUGGAGCAAUAGAAGUUGUCAAUAAAAAUUUCAAAAGGAUAAUAAAAAAUUGACUGACACUUAUAAGAACUAGCAUGAAAAGUUACCUUGUGCACUACAUGCUUAUAAGACAUUAGCGCGUACAUCUACUGAGGCCAUUAUUUUUUUGCUCGUAUAUAGGAUGACAGUUGUGCUACCAGUCGAAGUGGAGAUUCAUUCUUUAAGAAUUUUGAUGGAAGUAGAUUUAAAACAAGUAGAAUAGGGUUGGAAUCAUUACGAACAAUUAAACCUUGUUGAAGAGAAGAGGCUCACAGUUCUUUACCAUAGUCAAUUGUACCAAAAAAGAAUGAUACGAGCACAUGACAAGAGAGUUUGAUUUAGGCAUUUUCGUGAGGGAGAAUUAGUUUUAAAGAAAAUUGUUCUGAAUCAGCAUGAUAAUCGAAAAAAAUGGAUGCCAAAUUGAGAGGGUCCAUAUGUAGUCAUAAAGCUUUUUCGAGUGGAGCACUGAUCUUGGUAGAGAUGGAUGAGGAUGACUUACCAAACUUGAUAAAUUUGGAUGCUGUAAAAAAUACUUUGCCUAAGAAAGAGACAAAAAGAAUAAAACAAAACAAAAAAUGACAAAGCAAAGCAAACAAAACAAAUAAAAAAAUUAAAAAAAAAAGAUGAAUAAAAAAUAAAGGAGGACUUAUAAUUAAAAACCCAAAAAGGCAGUUUAAGUUAAAAGGAAAGAUCUAAGUUGAAAAUCUGAAAAGGUGGCUUAGACACAAAGGAAUACUAAUAUCCAAGUAUAAAAGGGCAAUGUCCAAUAAAAUGAACUUGGAAAGAUCAGGUUUAUUAAUGGAAUGGGUUUUUAAGAGGAAAAGUUUUGGAAUAUUGUUCAUGAUUAUCUGAAUAUUCACUGUCUAAAUACAAUUCUCUUUAUUUAAACUAGUGUUUAAGCUUCUCACUAGACACAUCUUUAUACCUUCCUAUAAUAAAUUUUCACCUUUCUCCAAUUUACCUUGCUUUUUGAUAAUCUUUAUUCUCUCAAAUAUAUGAAAUGCUAAUUCAUUACACUAUUCAUGAAAUUUGGAAUAUGAUAAAUGAUUGAUAAUAUUCAUAAAAGGUUUUACAUUAUUUUUUGAAAAUCAAAGAUGACGAAGCUAAAAAAAUAAUAAAAAAAAGAUUAAGAAAAAGGGGGAGGUUUAGAAAAGCACAUAUUUUCAAACUCAUCAAAUCAAAGUAAACUUUUUGGAAGUAGUGUUGGAUAAUGAUAUCAAUAAAUGAUCACUGUAGUUCACAAGAAAGUAGCUCUUAGAAUAUGCAGAUUGGGAUUGAGAUUGAUUGUUUUGGAAAAAAUGACAAUUAGAAAGGAUUGACUUAAGCAACUUUGUUACCACAAUUUGGAUACAUCAUAUUGGUUUCUAAUAAUAUUUGCAUUACAUGUAUUACAUUUAUUGCAUUCAUGAAUUACGUUUAAUAUAUUCUUAAGAAAAAUUUGAACUUUGUUUUUUUUCUUUUUCUAAGGAAGAAUCAUUCAAGUAAAAGGCUAAAGCAUGAGAAAUGAUUUUGAAACAAUCACAACUUGUGAAACCUUUAAGCCAUAACAUCAUAAGUCAUUUUCAAACCAAUUUCAAAAUUAAAAAAAGAAAGAGAGAGAAAGAGAUAAGAAAAAAAAGAUUUUUAAAAGUGUCAUAGUCUCUAUUUAGAGGGAGCCAUUUUCAAGUAAGAUUUUUAAAGUUUCAUAGCCUCUGUUUAGGGGGAGCCAUUUCAAACAAGUUUUUUUUAAGUGUCAAAGCCUCUAUUUAAGAGGAGCCAUUUUCAAACAAGAUUUUUAAAAGAUUUUCAAAGCCCCUAUUUAGGGAAAGCCAUUUUCAAACAAGAACUUUUAAAGCUUCAAUGCUUUUGAUUAUAGAAGUAUUUAAAGAUAUCAAGAUUUGUAAGAACUUUGGACAUGAUCUCAUAUUUUAUUUUCAAAAAUUAUUGAGCAAUUGUUUACAAAAAAACAACUUUCUAAAGCAUCAUCCAAACAAAAUUAUUAUUUAUGUCUUUGUAUUAUUUCUGAUUUUUAGAAAUACGUAAAGAAGAACAGCUAUAGACACCACAUUUUAUUCGAAAUAUUUUUAGCAUGGUUGAACAAAGCCCGUUUAAAGCCUAUAAAGAGGCCCAUUUAAAAGCUUAUAAAAUGCAUCGAUAUUUAGGCCUAUAAUUAACAAAAAAAAAAAGACCCGUAUGAUUACUAUCAAACUCUUUUACAUGAGAUUUAUAUGGAUGACACCUUUUCAUGUGGAUGCAUAAGAAAUAAAGAAUAAAUGAAACGAGUAAAUCCCAAAGUCAAUUCUGAUCAAAAUUACACAAAACCUAGUCAAAAUGAAUAGAACUUGAUUAAUUCUCAAAAUUCACAACCUAAUUGGAAUCAAUGUAGUUUAAAAUUAAAUUUGGUGAUUUUUAAAACACUAAAAAUUUUUAUUGCACCUCGAGAAGUCUGAAAUUAUCAAAAUACCCCUACAAGUUUUUUUUUUUGUAAUUUGACCUUUUCAAGCUUGAAUUUUCAUGAAACUUUUUAGAUCUUAAUUUCAUAAUAUUUCAUAAUUUUUGGUACCCAAAAAGUGUGAAAUUACUACCAAAAUACCCAUUUAAGGGUAUUUUUAUAAUUUGAUCUUUUCGAGCUUGAAUUUUCAUGAAACUUUUCAAGUCUUAAUUUCAUAAUAUUUCAUGAUUUUAGUGCAUUUAAAAUCAUAGCAGUAACCCAAGAAGUGUGAAAUUAUCAAAAUACAUCAAAAUACCCCUAUAAAGGGUUUUUGUAAUUUGGCCUUUUCGAGCUCGGAUUUUCAUGAAACUUUUCAUAUCUCAAUUUUUUAAUAUUUCAUGAUUUUUGGUGUUUUAAAAUCCCAAAAAUGAGCUUAGGAACAUUAAUUUCUAAGAUAAUGUCCUAAAUAUCGAAAACUUUGUACUAGAGAUAAAAUGAUCUUUUCAUGGGUUAGAGACUACAAAAAUCUAACUUUUGUAGUGAAUAAUGUGGACCAUUAGAUCUCCUAUAGAAUCUUGAUCUAAUGUCUAAAGGUUACUCUUUAAGAAAAGAAAAAAGGAAAGAACUUUGGCCCUCGGAUGAGAUUGGAUCCAAAGGCUUACACUCACCAAGAAAAUGAGAUAUUUUUGGAAGGUUUAAAAUGAAAAUGAUGAGGAGCAUUCAAGAGGGAAUAAAAAUAGGGUAGAAAGAAGAGGCAGCUGGGGGGAGCUAUUUGAAUUUUUUUUAAAAAGGGGAAGCAACAAAAGUGUCCUAGCAAAAAAGACGAUGAGAGGUUUCACAAAAAAAAAAAUAAUAACAGAAAUAAGAGAACCAUAAAAAUGAGGGAGCUUGUAAGGAGGUUAGAAACAAAAAGGAAGAUCACAGAUUGCCACUGAGGGGAAAGAAAAAAGAUCAAAAUAAACAAAUAAAAAAAAAACAGGAAAAACAGGAAGGUAACUCCAUCUGCAUCUAUUCAGUUGGAUGGUUGUUUCUUGUUAUUUUUCUUCAUCUCUUUUUUCUUGUUUUGUGUGUUUUUGGUGAUUUUCUAUUCUUGUUGGUCAUUGUAUGGAGGAUUUGCAUGGUCUCUUCUUACCUAUAAUGUAUUGAAGGUUGUUAUAAAACUUGUUUUUGUUUACCCAGUCUUUUUAUUCAUUUUUCUUCAUAGAAAAGAUGCAUGAUAUGUUACAUGUAGAUGAAAGAAAAGGGAACCUUUUUGGACUUUGCAACUCUAUUUGUGCCAUUUUAGAUAUAUCCCAUACAUUGAAAAAGAAACCUUUUUUUUUUAAAUCACGAAAUAGUUUUCAAAAAAAAAAAAUACAUAGGGAGGUUUUCCCAAGAAAUUAUCUUUUUUUGGGCUUGUUUAGGAAAACUUUAAAGUGUAAGUUUGGUUGUUAGUCGAUUUAUGCUUGAAACUUGAAUCUUCAAGUUUUCUUUAGUUGUUGGCUAUAAGAGAAAGAGUGAUUUAUGAUUUAUAUUUGGUGUCAUGGUGAAAAUCUCUUUGCAUGAAAUCUGUAGCUCCAUUGGUUUCGAUACUUCCUAUUCUGUAAAACAAGUUGCAUUCAUGGGAGGAAAAACUCCCUUUUUAAAAAAAAAUACAAAAACCAAGAGAAAAUAGGGGGAAGCUUUCUAGAAUAUGGGAUAUAAAAGAGUUUCAAAGGUGCUAAAAGUUUAUUUAAAAUUAAAAAAAAAAGUACUUACUCUUCACAAAAAGUAACAACUUUUGAAUUUUGAAAUCCCUUCAUUUUCAGGUUUAUUACCUUGUUUGUUUAAGGAAACCUGUAGUUUCAUCAUUUCCAUGUUUGUUUUCUGGCUUUCUACUCAUCCCAUUAAUGAAAGCAUGAAACCUUCCCUUUUACCAGUUUGCUGGCUUUCCUUUUAUUGCACAUGAAUGACAAAAGAAAAAAAAAUUAUUCUUCGUAAAAUUGGUUAUAUUGCUUUACUGCUCAUGAAGGUUUGAAAACUUAUGGUAUGAAAAUGCAUGUUUUCUAAUUUUUUUAAAUGAAUAAAAAUAUAGGGAAGUCAAAGAGCUCAUCGUUUCCUUACUUCUGCAUGUAUUCUGUUAACUUCAUAAAUGUUGGUGCUUGUAGCACUCAACAUGUUUGUAACCUUGUUUCAUAAAAGAAAAUGUUUUAAACCUGGUGUGGUCCAAGGGAUUGCUGGUAAGGAAUUUUGAAUGUAGCUUUUUUUCUUUUCCCUCAGGCAGGAGGUCAUUAAUACUUUAGGUUGUAUGCUUGUACUUUGCAUGUACAAGCUAGGUGUCACAUCCUUUGUGCUUUCAUGUCCUGUUGUGAAAGUUUAAAAAUGAAAAUCAGAAAGCCUAGGAACUAAAAACUAGAGGACUUAAAAAAAAAAAAUUGAACUAAAAUAUGUAAGAAAAUAAGCUUCCAAAACAUGGAUAGUAGGGCGUACAGUCUAGGUGAUAAGGAAUCCCAGGUGUUAUUAAAGUUCUUGUUAUAUACAAGAGCUGCAAUAUAUGCUAAAAAUCUGCUUGUUCUUUAUAAGGUCGGUUGUCAUGCAUAAUUUAUAUGUAUCAUGUAAAUACAUAUGCUAAAAAUCUGCAAUAUACGUCUAUUGUAAUUUUUUUAUGCAAUCUACAAUGUUGUGUUUCAAUUUAUUUUUAGAACAAUUUAUUUUCAUGCUGAGAUUUAUGCCAAACACAAUAAUAAAAAUAUAAUAAUAAAAAUUUCUUAGAAUAAGAUUUUAAGAAAGUUCGAGUAAUAAUUACUUAAAAUCUCUAGAUAAGGGUAUUUUUUAAAAAAUACUACCAAAAUAUUGAAGUAUUUAGGAAAAUAUUUAAUAUAAAAAAGUUUUAUUUGUCUAUUUUUCUAAAAUUUUGAUAGAUGUUAAUAAUAAUGUGUAAUGACUCUUUUAGUAAUAAAAUUGCUAAAAUUAAAGAUUAGAUUAGAAAAAAAUAAAAUUAAUUAAAUAAGAAAGGAAAAAGUGAAUGAAAUUUUCAAGGAUGAGAUUCUAAGGAUGUUCAAGUAAAGAUUCUUAAGAAAUCCCUAAAUGAGAAAAUUCUUCUAAAAUAUCAUCAAAGUAUUAGGGUAUCUAGGAAAAUUUUCAAUAAAAAUUUUUAUUUACUUUGUUCCUUUCAUUUUUUUUUAGUUAUAAUUGAAAAAUAAUUAAAAUGAUUAAAACAAAAAAUUAAAAACAGUAAUGAAAAAAAUGAUAAGUAUUACAUUUUUUUUAUGCAUAUUUUGCUUUAUUGUCUUACAUUAUAUGAUAUUAAGUAAUGUGAAUUUUCGAUGAUGAGAUUUUGAGAAAUCCAAAUAGUGAUUCCAAAAAAUUCUCUUGGUGAAAAAAAUCUUCUCAAAGUUGCUAAAGUGUUGGAAUAUUUAGAAGUUUCUUUUCAAUAUGAAAAAUUUUCAUUUCUUAAUUAUUUUCUUUAAUUUGAACAGUUUUUCUUAAUAAAUAAGAAUGUGUUUUAUUUUGGAAAUAAAUGUAUUUGUAGAUAAUAUUAUUAUUACAAGACUUUUAAUAAUUUUUUAAAAAAAUAAAUGAAAAAUCUCUAUGGAUGAGAUCCUAAAGAAAUUCAAGUAGCGAUUCUUUAGGAAUCUUUAGAUAAAAAAAUCUAUCUGAAAUACUACUAAUGUAUUGAAGUAUUUAGAUUAAUUUUUUAUAAAGAUUUCUUGUUUUUUUAGAACUGGUAUAGAAAUGAGUUUUAAAAAAUGCUAUUUAUUUUUAAAAUUAUAGAUAUCAUAUUUUCUGAAAAUAAAUAUGAACCACUGAUGAUAAAAUUUUUGAAAAUUUCGAGUAGCAAUUCUUAAAAAUUUCUUAGGUGAGAUGGUUCAUUUUAAUAUUGCUAGAGUGUUGAAAUAUUUUUAGGAAUUUUUUAAUAUAAGGUUCUUAUUUAUUUUUCAAGCUUACUAAAAAUGAAAAAUAUGUUUUUAAAGAAACUAGGAAAAUUAAUAUUUAAAUACCAAAAUUAAGACCAUUUUAGUCAAUAUUAAAAGAUAACACAUAAUUAAUUGGUAUCAUUUUAAACUGGCACUGUGGGGGUGCCAAUCUUUCUCCGCGUGUAACUAACUCCCAAACUCAAACUAUUUUUCAUAGACCCAAAAAUUAUAUUUUUAAUAAAUUUUAAUUAAUUUGUUAAGAAGGCAAGUUUUAAUAGGUGGCCAAUCACACCUAGCCAUGGCAGUGACUCCAUCUUUCAUUUUUUUCAAAUUCAUCUAGUAGUCCUCAGAACUAUUACAACAUAGCUAUAUUUAUAUUAAAUCAUAAGCUAUAUCAAAAGUCUUAAUCAUCAAGGCACCACCUGUGACAACAUCUAAGAUAGUUUGAAUAUGUCCUAUGAAGCCAUUAUAAAAUAUUUGUAUCUCUAACCAUUUAGGUAGUCAAUGGUGUGGACAACUCCUUAAGAGCUCCAUUUAUCUUUCCCAAACAUUACACAAUGUCUCUAAGUCAUGUUGGGUAAAAGUAGUUAUAUCAUUCCUCAUCUUGGUCGUCUUGGCCGAAGGAAAGAAUUUGCCAUGAACUUCUAAACUAGAUCACGCCAUGUAGUUAUGGAAUCCAAUGGCAUAGAGGACAACUAACUUUUUGCUUUAUUCCUAAGGAAAAAUAAAAAUAACCUAAGUCUAAUGGCAUCAUCAAUAGCAUCAUCAUGUUUACAUGUAUCACAUAUUUCCAAGAAGUUCCCUAAGUGAGCAUUAGGAUCCUCACUAACAUGGCCACAAAAUUGAAUAAAGGUUUAAAUCAUUUUGAUAAUUAUGGGUUUGAUUUCAAAGUUAUUGGCUUGUAUUACUAGCGUCCUAAUACUAGGUUGAAAACCAUUAAGAUCAAGCAUAACAUAGUCUCUCAAAGCUCAAGUGUCCAUUUGCUCAAACAUGUGUCUAUAAUGGUAGGGUUAGCUUGUCUCUCCCUUCUAAUUCUCCUAAGAGUGUUUUUUACUUUUAGAUCAAGAAGAAUCAACUCACGACUCUAAACCUUAUGCAUAAAUUAGCCAAAAAGACAAUUAGAUCAAGUGAAUUCAAAGAAUCUGAAAAUAUAUACACCCUACAGAAACUAAAGGCAAAAGAAAAUGUAUGUACACUAUCUACACUAUUCUAUGUAACCUAAGGCUAUGUACACUAAAAGGUGAGCUAAAAUACAACUACGCAUAUUGAAGGUUUGAUAUUAGACUUAAGAACUAGCUUUUCAGUCCUUGGUAACAGCAUAAAAAUUUUAAUUGCAACUAUCAUCCCACGAAGAUUGAAUAUUGAUGCAUCCUAAUCUAAUUACUAAGAAUCAAUAUACUACAACUAUAUUUAACUCAAUCAAAGUACAAGAAAACAAUCCACACUACUCCUACAUUAAGAAUGGCAAAUAAAGUACGUAAGGUAAGUUAAUAAAGCAAGUAAACAAACAUAAGCAAUUAACAAGUAAAAGUGCAAGUGAACCUAAAAGAAAGCAUAUGUAAUUGAUCUAAGUUAAACAAGAAUGAAAAUAGCAGUAAUUUCAAGUAAGUAAUGCAUGGAAAGUAACCUAGAGCAACUGACUAAAUGCAAACAAAAAUUGAAAAUUGCUUCUAAGUACUAAGCAUAAAACUAAAAAUGAAUUUGCAUGAAAAUGAAGUAAACAAGAUUGAACAUUAAAUCAAACAUGUUGUCUAUGAAUUCAAAUGCAAAAUAUAUGUAAAAACAAAAUUUACACCUAAAUCUAAUGUGCAAAGAAAUGAACUAGCAUGAAUGAAAAAACGUAAAUCGAAACUAGGCUAUAAUGCAAGAACCGAAUGUAAAUGAACAUAAACUUGAAAGAACCUAAACUACAUGCUAUGAAUGUAAAUGCAAAUAAUGUGUAAAAAUAAUAAAUCAACCUAGAUCUAACAUGUAAUCAAUGUAAAUGCAUGAAAGAAAUCAUAUAAAUUUAAAAAUUCAAACAAACCGAAAAUGAACACUUGAAUAGAAUUUGAAAUUGCUGAAAAGUAAAAUCUAUAUCUAGAGCUCAAUAUUGAAAAUGAACUUAAACUAAAUUAAAAGAACUUCAACCAACAUGUAAACUUUAAAUCAGUUAAAGAAAUUAGCUCAAACAUAAAAUAAUUUAGCUCAAUGAACUCAAAACAUUUUAAGUAAUAAAAACAAAGAAAACAGAACAUGUAACAAAAACAUUAGCAAAACAACAAGUAAAACAUGAAUUAAAUUACAAGGAAUAAUUUAUUUCAAUAUAGACAAGUGAAAUAGCAAGUAAAGAAAAGGACAAGAAUGGAUCGUCUUUGAAGCAAGGAGGAGACCUAUCUCAAGUUGCUAUCACCAAUCAUUGCUUUCUCUACUACCUAUUUCUAGUUAAAACUUGUAGGAAUUUUAGAAACUUUGUGGAAUGAAUUUGAAUUGAAAAUUUUCUAGAUUUACAAAGUUCUAUGAAUGUAGAAUCUUCAGUACAAAAUUCAAGGAAAAAUCAUAAAUAAAACAUAUUGAUCAAGCAUGAAAAUUGAAGCAAGUAGAGCAGAACAAAUAACCAAACAACAUUAAAAAAAUGAAAGAAAAUGCAAGUAAAUGUGCAAGAAAGUAAAGGAAUUUGAAAUUUGCAUUAAGGAACUUGAAAUUCGCAUGAAAAUUAGAGAGCAUUGAAAUAAAUUUGUAGGAAAAUUAAAAGACAGUUUCUUCCAAAUAGUUUCCUUAACGGAAGAACUCUUUGAGAGAAAACUUUAAGAAAGAAAAUUUAAAAAUAUAAAAAUGAGAUUGCCCCCCUAUGCUAAUCCUUUCUCCUAUUUAUAGACAAAUUUAGAUCUAGAAGAACUAAAGAGCACUCUUCAAAUUGCCAUGUAGAAUGCCAAGUGGGAAAAUAUUUCUAGCUUAUCUACAUUAUUCUAGAAAGUAUUCUAGUUGCACUUCUUUGCUUCACUUCUCUUCAAGUCCUCUUUGAAUUCUCCAAGCUUCAAGUCACUGAAAUUGCACCAUUGGCAUUCCCUUGUGUUCACACUUGAACCACCAAAAUGCUCCCAUACAUAUCCAUAUAGUUCGGCCACUACUCCUCCUCUUCUUUUUUUCUAGAUGCCAAUUUAUGGUGAUUCUUGAAAUUUAAAUCCAGCCAAUGAGACGUUAUAUAAAUGCCAACUAAGCCAACAAAAAACCAUCAAAAUUCAGGCUCUUAAUUAGCUUCAAUUAAGCGUUGAAACCGUAACCCUUUGCUUACUUCUUUUUAAGCUUUCAUGCAAGUUUACUAUAAAGCCAAAUCAACUCCAAUUAGCUUAAGGAAAGAAAUAUGCAUAAUUGAUGUAAAAAAUCAUGACUUGGAGUAGGUCUAAUUAAGCUCAAUUGUAAAUAAAAGCAACUAGGUAAAGGCUAAAGAAAUCUCCCAAAUGGUUUUGAACAUUUCUUAAGCCUUUGAAGGAAAAUUAUUCCAACAUGUUUCCAAUUCUUAUUCAAACCAUCCUUUUUCCUUAAAAAUCAUAAAAUUACCUAUGUAUUGAAUAUUUUAAUAAUUAAGAGUAAUUUUUCCUCAUUGUCCUUAGAAAUAAGCAAAAUUUAACCACAAAAGCUUAUAAAAAGCUAUGAUAAUUCUAUAAAAAUAUAGAAUUAUCAAAUCACAAAGGCUAGGCUUAAUCAUUUAGGUGCAAAAUAAAAAAAGGAUAACAUAAAGCUUAAAAGGGAUGACUAUGGAUAAACAUGUAAAAGUUAGCUUAAAAGACUUAAAUGAUCCAAAAAUGACCUAAAUCAUCUCCUAGUUAAGUGUUGUCUAGGAUUUCACAUUUAGAUAUGAUCAAACAAAUUCUAGAAUAUGAACACAACUUUAAAGAUCAACGCACAAAUUCCAUAAUCAAAUAAGCAUGCAACUGAAUGAUCAAGACAUACUCACAAAUGGAAAUCUCAUAAUAAAAAAGUCAUCAACUUAAGAAUUCAUCUCAUGCUUACACAAUAUUCAUUCUUUUCCAUAAGUUAUACUCAAACUUAAUAAUAUUUUCUAUCAUUGGAUCAUGAAAAAUUAACCAAUGGAAACAUAACAACGACUCAAAGCAAAAAACAUUUAAACCAUAAUUUUUCAUAAAAUAUUUCAAAAUUUAGGAAAAAUAGGAAAAGUUGUGUAAAUUUUUCUCCUUCCUAAACUUAAAAUACACAUUGUCCUCAAUGUGAAAACAAUAAAGAAAUUAAGUUUAAAAGGGUAAAGUAAACCCUUUGUCUCCUCAAAUUUCAUCUUUGAAGCUUAGUAUAUUACUUUAAUUAUUACCUAUAAAAUAAAAAAAACAAAUUGAACAUUAAUAAAACUAAUAAGAAACAUUAAAGCAGAAAAGAAAUAACAUGAACAAUAAGGGUAAAAAAACUUGGGUUGCCUCUUAAGAAGUGCUAAGUUAAAGUCAAUAACUUGACUUUUCCUAUAAUGAGGUAUCAAUUGAUCACCGUACAUUUGGAUCUAUCAUCCAUCCAGUUAAUGGUUUUUCUCCUUACCAUAUUUUCAACAAUAAGCUUUAAGUAGUAGUGCAUGACAUAAAAUUUAGGCUUUUUAUUUUAAAAUAUACCAUGCUUGCCUAUUUCUAAAUAUGGACUAAAAAGAGUAUAAAAAAUUUUGAGCUCUAGGUGGGAGGUUUCUUCAUGGAUGAUAUGAUUUGAGGAAGCAUAAAAGAUGAGGUUUCCUAAAUUUUUGGCUAAUGGUUAUAAAGUGGAGAAGCUUUUAGACAAUUGAAGAAUUCAAUGACCUUAAGUUCAUCUUUAUCCUUAACCUUUUCACUAGUUUUCAUUAAGGAAUGUUUCUAAAGGUAUAACAACAUUGUCUAUUAAACACCCCUUAUCAACAUUUUUAUUUGCCACAUUCAUUCCAAACCAUUAUGUGUUUGAUCUUUAAAGUGUUGAGGAAAUGGCAUUGGUGGACUACAAGGAUUAGAUUUGUCUUGAAAAUAUAGAUCCAUGGUAAUAGAACCAAAUGAUUCAAUUCCUAUUAAUAUGGUAAUUAUAUCUAAAAAUGCUAUCUUUGAUGAAUAUAGAUUCAAACUUGAAUCUAAUUCAAUAGAAAUUGCUUUAGAUAGCUCAAAAGAGUAAGUAAAAGAAACUUGCAUUAAAAAGAAAAUAACUUUGUACUUAGAACAAGUAAAAGGGUAAGAAAGGUUAAAAUGUUUGAUCUAGAUUUUUACAUGGUCCUAGUUGUAGGAAUAAUAGAAACAAUUAAUAAACAUAUUAAAUAUGUUUUCAAUAUAGAGUUGGAUCUUAGGAUGUUUGAUAAGGCAAUGAAGUCUUAAAAUAUAACUUUUUGGAAAAAGCUAUAGAUGAUAAAAUGGAUUUUCAUUAUAAAGAACAAUACAUUGAUCUUAGUUGAUUUACCUUUUAGUUGCAAAUGGAAUUUCAAAAAUAAAAAUCAAAGUCAAUGGAAUUGUAAGCAAGUUCAAAGCUAUACUUGUUAGUAAAGGAUUUAGAAAAAAGCAUGGUAUUGACUAUUUAGAUACCUAUGCAUUGAUAGUAAGAAUUACUACGAUAGGAUGCUUAUAGCAUUGGCUUCCAUAUAUAAACUUGAAAUUUACCAAAUGGAUGUUAAAACUGCAUUUCUAAAUGGUGAAUUCGAUUAAGAAGUUUAUAUGAAACAACUAUAAGGAUCUAUACUAUUAGGAUAAGAAAAAAAGUUUGCAAAUUGAUUAAGUCAUUAUAUGGACUUAAACAAGCUCAUAAGUAAUGGCAUCAAAAGUUUAACAAUGUUGAACUAGCUAAUAGAUUCAAGAUUAACAAAUUUGACAAAUGUGUUUAUAGUAAGUUUGAAAAGGAAAAAUGUGUCAUCAUAUGCUUAUAUGUGGAUGACAUGCUAAUUUUUGGUAUAGACUUAGAACAAGCUGAAAGUACUAACAAAUUUUUGUCUAGCAAUUUUGCUAUAAAAGACAUAUGUAGUGCAAAUGUGAUUUUCGGGAUCAAGAUAAUUAGAGAAAAAUCUAAUAUAACAUUGUCACAAUCACAUUGUAUUGAGAAAAUUCUUAAGAAGUUUGAUCAUUAUGAUAGUGCAACAGUCUUAACACCAUUUACCAAUUGGAUGGUAAUCAUAAAUAUAUUACCAAUUGGGUUUUUUCUAAACGGAGUAUGGAUACUUCAUUUUAUCAGUUAAACCAAGCCAAUCAUAAUCAUUCUAAUUGAAAAUAUUAAUCUAGAUGCACCCUCAUGAAAUGGAUCUCUAAUUGCACUUCCUAAUUUGAAGUUAACUCCAAAUAAAGGGAUGAUUGUUACACAACUUGAAUAUGCAAAGGUUAUAGGUUAUGUAAUGUAUACAAUGAUCACAUUAGACUGAAUAUAGCCUAUGCAAUUAGUAAGCUUAAUAGAUAUGCAUGCAAGCUAAGUAAUUUGCAUUGAAAAGCUACUAUAAGAGUCUUUAAUACUUAAAGAAAACCAUGGAUUAUGGCAUUCAUUAUUGUGGUGAGCCUUCAAUUUUAGAAAGAUACAUUGAUGUAAGUUAGGUAACCAAUAUAGAAUAUCAUUCAUCUACAAGUGGAUGGAUUUUAAUGAUUAGUAGGGAUGUUGAUUCUUAGGGUUCUAAGAAACAAACUUGCAUAGUUGAUUCUAUUUAUGGCUUCCAAAUUUGUAGCAUUAGCUUCAGCAUGCAAGAAAGUAUAAUGGUUAAGGAAUUUAUUAUUAGAAAUUCCAUUAUAGUGAAAACGAAUGCCACAAAAAUCUAUCCAUUGUGGUAGUCAAGCUACCUUGCAAAAACAUACAGUCAUGUGUUUAAGGCAUAGCUAUGUUAGAUAACUGAUAAAAAAUGGGGUGAUCACCAUUGAUUUGUCAACUCAAGUAGAAAUUUAGUUGAUGUAAUGACAAAAGGUCUUACAAGAGAUACGGAGUCUAAAACUUGCAUAGGGAUGGGAUUAAAGUCCAUAAGUUAAGUCAUACAUGAUGAAACCUCAACUCAAAGUUUAAUUACAUAGAGUCUUGGGUUUUAAUGAGUAAAGUACAUAAUUUGUUUGUGAUGCCAAGUAUUUUAAAAUAUAAACCAUCACAAUUAGAUAAGUACCAGAACCAUAUGUGUUAAGGUUAAUAAUUAACUCUUAAUGAAUCCAUAACUUGAUAAUUUAAUAUUGGAAUGCUUAUAUGGUGGCAUUCUUGAUGGAGUUCAUCUAUAUGAGUAGAAGUGGCACCAUUUCUAAGGGCAUGGACUUGACUCUAAAAGUACUUAUGAAUAUACAUGACACACGACCACUAAAAUUGUGUUAAAGCAAGGCUAAAUGACGUUUUGGUAGGAUUUGAAAUUUUGUGUGUGGUAUUAGUACAUGACUAGUCAUAUAGAUUGGUUGGUUCAAAUAUCUAAGAUCUAUCAUUUAAUCUAACAAACCCAACAACAUUUUAUUACUAAAGUAAAUAUUAUUGAACAAUGUUAUAUGAUAUCUAUAUUUAUGCAUAAGAUUUUCGAAAGUACCAGAAUUUAUCUUUAUUUUGAAACUAGGUAAGAGAAUGUUAGACAAUAUUUUCAAAACAUAAAAAUAUGAUUAAGAAAUUGACUUAAUCAAACGAAAACAUAAUUAAGCUAUAAGAUGUCUUAAAGUAAAGUCCUAAAGGUUAAAGAUAUGAUUCUAAACUUAAAAGAAUCAUACAAAAAGACUAUACAAGAAAAUGGUUGACUACAAUACUUAGAACAGUCGGCUGCCAUACUUAAAGUAGUUAGCUGCUUUAAACUUCUAGGAUGAGCAGUCAAUUUUCAAAGACAUGGAAUCGAUUGCUUUGUCAAACAAAAGCUAAACUUAUAUUCUAUAUAAAUAGCAGUCAACUGCUAGUUUAGAGCAACUGAUUACUAUAUUAUGAAAGUUAGUGGAAUUGAUUCCAAACCCUAAUGGAAUCAACUAUCAUUUGAUGAUAGUCUUCUAAGAAUUGAUCUAUGUUAUAAGUAGUCAACUGCUGUUGAGAGGAAUUGGUUGCCCUAUAAGAGGCUAAAUGUGGAACCUUUUUGGAAAUUGAAAGGAAUCGAUUGCUUUAUGAAGCAGUUGAUUACUUAUGUGUAGAAUGCAUUCUAUAUGAUGAAAAUGAGUUGAGUGAUCUAUAUAGAAGUCAACUACCCUACUAUGAAAGCAUUUUGGAAAUUAGAAAUACACAGAGGCAGUCAACUACCUUUUUAGAGCAAUCAAUUACUAUACAUAAAAAGUUAUAAUUUCCAAAAACGUGAAAAAUGAUUUCUUUGUGUGAAAAAUUUAAUUAUUCAAAUGAACAAAUAUAUCUGUAAUCUUUCAAAGAGAUAUAUUUUAUAAUAAAAAAGGUGAUCUUUAAUUGAAACAAUAAAAUAAAACGGUCACAACUUUAGGAUUCAAUCUCCAUAAAUAGAGAUUGAUGUGAGUUUAUUUGAUAUCAAAUUCAAUUUUGAAUUACCCUAUUCUUUCUCCAAUCCUUUCUCAUUUAAAGCAAGUUGCUUUUAACAUUUUUUUGCUGCAAAAAAGCUUGAAAAAGACAUGGUAUUUUCAUUCCUACCGAUGAAUGUUUAGUGAUUUUUUAUACUAAUAUAAAGUAUAAACAAAUAACGCUUCAUUGUAUUUUGGAAUUGUUUUGGUUCACUCUUUUUACAUACUAUAAUUAGUUGGGAUGAAAUAAGUUUAAAGGAAAGUAGUAGUUACAGCACACCUUAAAAUCAUUUUGUUUGUGUUUGAAGGUUCAUAAUUGCUUAACUCUAACUAUUCAACAAAAUGGUUACAAAAAAUUCACUAGUUGUCAAGACACUCCAGAAUCAACAAGUUGUUUUUUAUAGCCAUGUAUUUCAUUAUUUUGCCGACAUAUAAAUUGGUAAAUUUGACAAAAGAUGGCAUACACAGAUGCUUGCGAAAAUCAUGCAGUUAAACGAAAGAUAAGAUGAUGUCACUGUAGUUGUUAAAUUUGGAAUUGAAUUGGGUUUCACUUGAAAAUAAUGGGUCUUUAACCUCCACAGUUAUCAGAUAAUUUUCAAGUGGCAGUCAAAUGAAAGAAUCCAAAAGUUCGGCAUUUUUUGGUGAACUUCGGGUCGUAUAGCAACUGAGUUGAACGGCUCUACAAUGCCCAAUCUUUGAACUAAAACAAUUCACGUCACCUUUGCAAACCUAAUUAAUAAUAACUAAAAUUCGACACAUCAAUCAAAGAACUAUAUUUUAAAAAUAAAUAAUAUGUAAAAAAAUUGAAUACUUUUUAUUAAGGGUUAAUUUUUUUAUCGUUUAUUUUUAAAUGAAUUGACAUGAUAUAAGAGCUAACACUUAAAAGUUAUGAAUUUGAAAAAUUUUAAUUACAUGAUCUCUUAUUUAGUCAUGUAAAUAUAAAAAUAAAAAUUCAAAAAUAAAUUUAAAAUUAAAAAAAAAAAGUAAUUACUUCUAGAUUUAUUCCUUACCUAUUUCAUGAUGUGAUUUUAACCAUCCAAAUAUUUUAAUAUUAUUAUUCCUCUAUUUCUUUUUACAAAUCAAAUUAUAUAAUAUUUAUUCGUAUUCUAUUCUAUUGCCACGUAAAAGUCGUUCCAUUUUCUCUAGAGGUAGCCUUCGCACUUUUAAUAUCAUUUUAACGAUUUAAUUAUUAUAAUGAUAAAAUUAUUAAGAUUAAUACAAUAUUAUAAAUUAUGUGUAAUCUUAUAUCACUGUAUUUGAUGUUGCAUUAAAAAAAAAAUCAUUGUCCUAUAGAAAAUUAUAAGGUAUAAAAUCAGUUUUGAUGAAUAUAAGUUGAAGUUAUUUACAUGUUCAUAUUUAAGGUUCACAUAAGUUAUCUUAUAUAAAAUUAAAAAGUGAAAAUUUUGCUUAUAAAACACUAAAAACGAUCGAAAUUUUCUUCAAUGAUAAAACUUUUUUAUUUCUUUGGAUAAAAUUCAGAUUAUCCCACACGACAAUAUACCAUUACAUACCAAAUGAACCUCUUGCGUAAUCCAAAUUUUUUAUGGAAAAAGGGAAGUGCAUUUCCGUUGAUUACAAGAAAAUGAGAAAGUUUAUUUAGAAACUAUAGGAAAAUAGAAAUAAUCAAUAUACAGACAAACGAAUGUUCCCUUUUAGCAAAGAAAAAAUAUAUACAAAAAAGGAGAUUCGUCCAUCCAAACCUCAAACUCAUCCAAAUAUUAAAUCUGUCUACAUAAAAUUUUAUAAGUAAAGUUCGUAAAUUUUUUUAUUAAAAUAAGUAAAUAAAAAUUAAAAUUUAAGAUUAAAAUUGAUAUAUUAAAAUAUUUUAUUAUAUAGAUUAAAAGAGUAGAUUUUAAAAAAUAUAUAAAAAUUUUGAUAUAUUUAUUAAAUAAGUUUUUUUUAUAAAAAUAUUAAUAAAAUUUUAUCAUUGAAUAAAUAUUAAUCAAAUUUAAAUUAUAAAUAAUUUUUUUAAUAAUUUUUUUAUAUAUUAUUAAUUAUCACAUUAAUUUUUAAUAAUUUAUCAAUUUUAAUUUUUUAUUAAAAUUUUUAUUUACUCAUUUUUAAUAAAAAAUUUGGACAAAUUUUAUCUAAAAAUUUUAUAUAAAUUUUGUCUUGAUUUCCAAUUCCCGUCCUCCAAACCCAUUAAACGGUGACCGGGUCGGAUGGUUUAUCUAAUCUGGCGAACCUUUAUCCACAAUUCCAUCUGGAGUGAAAAACACCGUCCAAUGACACCUGUAUGGACCAAGAAGCACAUUGGUUCACGCGCAGCACUAGCCAGAAGAGGUAUUUAUUUUCCACCAAACUUUCCCUUCCCUGCCCUCCGACGCCUCCCCUUCUCUAUCUUUUCCUUCCUCGCUCUCUCUCUCUGUCUCUCUCUCUCUCUCUCUAUAUAUAUAUAUCCCCAUCCACGUUUGGAUACAGAUUUGGAGGGAGACAGAGGCUGUGAAAUUUUGUUGAAAGCGUUGUCAAUACAGAAGAAGGGAGAUGGAGGGCAAAAACAACAGUAAUUUCAGAGGAAAGGAGGACAUGGGUACGGUUGCAGUUCAUAGCCAAGUGAGAAAAAUAAAGCAGGAAUCGGAGCAAAUCAUCGACCGGUCACAUGGACUGCCUGAGAUGAGACCUGUUUUAAGAGAGAUUUCUAGACAGCAGCUUUCUCGGUCUCCUUUGGGGUUAAAUGGCAGACCAAUCUCUGUUGGUCCCUGGAGAGAGCCUUAUGAAUCAGUUUGAUUAAAAUCUUUUCAAAAAGAAUAAAGUACUGUUCAAACAGCUCAUGGAAGAAUUAGUCUCCUGUUUUCACAUAGAAUUUCAUCACUCUUUCUUCCUCUCUCUCCCCCUCCCUCUUUGCACAUCUUUGUAUAUAUAUAUAUGGGUAUAGUUUAAUUUCAGUAGGUUUAUUGAAAAUCUGGCUGCCUGGUCAAGGAUCUCAUUGGUUCUCUAUCCCAUGCUAGCUCAGUUUUGAUGGAUUUUUAUGCCGUUACGUUUUGUUUCAUUGCUUGUUUUGUUGAAUCUCUGAAUAUAACAGAAAUCAGGAAAGAAAUAUAUAUCGGUAUAAUCAUUACAUGUAUCAGCAAGAUAUAAUUAUUACAUGUUCCCAAUCUGCCCACUCCGCUUCUCUUCCCAAUAACUAAAUUUCACGUUAUGGUUCAAGUUAAAAUCUUUUCAUUUCUAUAAAUUAAGUGUUUUUCUUGCUUAUAGAAACGUCAAUUGCUGCUGCAGUUUUCAGCUGUGUGGAAAUGUUUUGAUUUGGUGAUUUGUCUUCAUCUGCACAAUUUAGAAAUGCAACUUGUCCGAUCCAAAUUUAAUCUAACAUUAACCAACCGAACCUGCUCAAGUCAAAUCGAAACACUUUGAAUCUAAAUUAACACGAAUUAUAAAAGGAUUUAAAUCCACAACCUAAAAAACUGAUUGGAAAUUAAAUUGAAUAGAUUUUAAAACUCCAAAGUUUGGAAUCCAACUCUAAUGAAUUUUAUUUGUUAAAAUAUUUUAAAAAAUCUUUAAAACUUAUUAUUUUAUUUAAAUAUAUUUUUAUAUUUUUAUUGUAUUCAAAUAAGUUUUUAUUUUAUUUAUUUAUCUUUAGAUAUGUUUUUUAUUUCAAAGAAAAAAUUAAUUUAUGUGAAAAGCUUAUUUAGAUAUAAAUUAAAAACUAAAAAUUUAUUUGGAAAUAAAUUAAAAUUUAAAAGUUUAUUUGAGUACAAAAUAAAGAAUGUGAAUUUAUUUGAGUUUAAUAAAAAUAUAAAAAUUUAUUUAAAUAAAAUGGUGGAGUGUAGGAAAUUUUUAGUAUUUUAGCCAAAAUAAUUUGACCUCUAGAUGAUAACAGAACGAUAAAAACAUUAAAAUGGCUCAAAUUUUCUCUGAUCUAAAAUAAUUGCAAUCGAAUUUACUUAAACCAAACUCGAUGUGAAACGACUUAACCCAUACAAUCCUGACGUGAACCACAUAAUUGCCAUAUGUAAAUUCAGGUACUGUUUUCCUUUUUACAAGUUGUUAGCAGCUUUUGCAAUAUGUUUUGUUUUCCUUAUCGAGUAUAAAUUUGGCAAGGAGACUCAAUCUUUUUAAACAGCGUAUUAUUGUCCAGCCCACCACUGGCAGCAAUCUCUUGAUAAAAUUAAAACUGGAAAAUGCUUACCAAUCAUAUCUUUUUUUUUCCCUAAUUUUAAGUACAUGACCAAAUUAAGUGUUUUAAUUUAUUAUAAUUGAUAUGAUAAUUUCAGACAUAAUACGAUGAUAUAACAUUAAAACAAUACAAAAAAAUUAUAUAUGUGCUUUAAAAAAAUAUAUUUCUUGUUUCUUCGUAUUAACAUGAAUUUUGAUACUAUAAAAUUCGUAUUUUAUAUAUGUUGACACGUCUAAACAUGUUAUAUAAUACAAAUAAUACAUUUAAUUUAAUUUUUUUAUACAAAUAGACGUUUAAUAUGUUUAAUACGUUUAAUAUAUUUAACACGUUUAACAUAUUUUUUAUAUUUAAUUUAAUUUAAUAUAAACAUAUAAAGAUUACUUUAAUUUUUAAUCUUUUAAUUAUGAUACUUAAUUAGCUAUUUAAUAUCAUAUAAAAACUAUUUUAAACAUUUAAUUAUGAUACUCAUUUAAUAAUUAUUAUAAAAUUAUUUUUUCAUAUUAAUAAUAUAAAUAUAAUAUAAAUAUUAAUAUUAGUGUUAUACAUUAUUAUUUUAUUCUUUAAUCUUUAAUAAUUUAUCAUUUUAAAUUUGAUACUAAAAAUUAAUACAGUUAUGAAAUAUUAAAUAUAUAUUAAAAGAAUAUUAUUAUUUUUUUUAAUAUGCAAAUAUUUUUUUAUAUUAUUAAUAUGCCAAGUUUAUUAAGUUGUAAAUGAUGGAUAAUUUAUAGUUGUUUAUUAUUUUAGUCAUAUUUUUGUAUAUAUUUGUAUUAGUCAUGUUUAUUCGUAUUGUGUUUAAAUGGAUUAAUUAUACAUGUGUUAAUCGUGUCGUAUCGUAUGUAAUACGUAUAAUAAACAUGUGGUGUGCAUGUUUAGAAUUUAAACAUAUUUUAUAAUUAGUGUUGUAUCCAUGUUUUAAUAAUUCAUGUCAAUACACAUGUGAAAUACGAUACGAGACAUGACACAGAAAUAUGAAUUACUAGAUCUACUUAUAAUUGCUGUGGGAAGUAUCAUAAUGUAUAGAUCUGUAGAUUUACCGUUAGAUAUAGAUUUUAGGAGUCGUCACCAAUCUUUUUUAUUUAAGUGCGAUUGGUCACCUAAUCGAAUCUAUCCCAUUUUAAAGAUGAGUCACAAAAUUAAUUUAGGUAUUUUUAAAUAGUAGAUUCUAGUUUAUGAAACUAGAUUUUAGGUUCGAGAUUAUGGUUACGAGUGAGAAAUAUAGCAUCCUCACAACACCCAUCCAAAGGAUGAUACCAAUUUGAUUUCAAAUUAUCCAAGUCUUAACCAUAUUUAUGAUUUAUCAAAAUAUUUAAUAUUGAAAAUUGAUCUUAAAAUUACUCCAAUAGUUUGGUAGCAAUUAAGAUAAUUCUCUCACCUCAAAAGUAUUCAUGAAAACUAAUGUGCCACUCUUAAGAGGCUUGUCGUCUUGUUUAUUAAUAUAUUUUAUUCACAAAAAUAAAUAGUAAAAUCCUCUAAUAAUUUUAGUAAGAUUUACUUUGGGAUGCAUAUCCCCUAAUAGUUUGGUGAGAUUUUUUUAUAAAUUUAUUUUUAGAAAUCGCAUUAAAUCCUUCUAUAGCUUGGUAAGAUUUAAUUUAAGAUACAAAUCCUCUAAUAGUUUAAUAAGAUAUAAUUUGAUAUACAAAUCCUCCAAUAAUUUGGUAAGAUCAAAAUAUGAUAUAAUAAUAAUAAUUUUUUUUAUAAAAGAAAUUAAUUUAUGAAAUUCUCUAAUAGUUUGGUAGAAUCCAUAAAAAUUUAAGUUCCUAAAAAAUCCUCCAAUAAUUUGGUAAUGUUGAAAUUUUUAUUUUCUAAAACAUUUUUUUUCUUUUUUAAAUUUGAAAGGAAAGAAAAUCAAUUAAAAAAAUCAUCAUCCAAAUAAUACCAUGUAAUAAUAAUAUAUUAUAUCAUGCAAUAAUAGUAUUCAUGCAAUUAAAUAUGUUAAUAAUCAUGCAAUCAAAUUAAACAUAAUCUCAUCAUGCAAUAAAUAUAAAAUUAUAAAAAAAACAUAUAUUCUAAUUAAUAUUAAAAAAAUUUUAAUUAAUUCAUCUACAAUUAAAAUAAAUACAUAAUAAACAAAAAAACAAAAUAAAUAAGUAAAAAAUGAAACAAAAAAUAAAAAAAUUGGAAAAUAAAAAUGAGAAAUGAGAAAUGAAAAGAAAAAGAAAAAAAAAAAGCCAAACCUUACCAUCGGGUUGAGUCUUAAUCAGGUUCAUGUAUGGAUCCACGCACAUUAGGACGCAGGUUAGGUUGUGUAAAAUGGUGUCGUAUUGCCUUUGUAUAAAAGGAAAAAAUCUAUUUUUCUUUCAGUUGCCUCAGUCCCCUCUCUCUCUAGGUUGGUUUCUCUCUAGCUUCUCUCUAGAUGACAGAUGAACACUAGCCAGCUUUUCUAGAUUCCAAUGCCAAAAUCCUCAAAUAGUAGCCAAAAUCUUCAAACAUUCCUUGAAACCUUGUAUGAACCUAGAAAAUGGCCAUGGACUCCAAAACCUAACUAUUGCCAAAACCUCUCCUAUUGCUGUCCUUCAUCAAAAAAUUCAAAUAUUCAAAUGAUAAAAACCUAGAAACACUUAGAUUAACUAGAUUUCCACAAUUUCUAGAAAUUCCACUUAAUUUGAAAAAAAAAAACAAAAAUUAUAAGUUCCUUAGAAACCAAAAUCUCAUAUUUAGAAACAAACAAAAUCCAUAAAAAAAAAAAAACCAUAAUCAAAACCAAACCCAAUUCCCAUAACUUCCUAAGUCUAGAAAAAUUUUUUUACACCCAAAUUGAUUCAUCCCUCCCCUUUUCACUUUCUAUUUUUCUAGUUUCUCCUUGUAUUAUUGAGUUAUAUAGGGUUUAACUCCCUUUAAUUCUAAAAGAAAUAACUCGACUGAAUCCCUAAAUUUAUGGUUUGAUUUAUGACUAUCCAUAAUUAUUCAAUCUAUUAUUGACUUCACAUAAUUUCCAUGAUUAGAUUUUACCCAAUUUGAUGUCCAGGAUAGAUUCUCAAAGAAGAUUUGAUUUUGUUUCCAAUUCAAUGCAAACACGAUUUCUGGACAAAUUCUUGACUUUGUUCUUCCCCAAUUUUUGUUUUUUAAUGAAACUUUUGACCUAUUUUUAAAUAAUAAUAAAAAAUACAUCAAAUUAAAGUUAAAAUUAAAAUUAAUAUUUUUCUUAUCGGGAAUGAAACUUCGCAAUUAAGCCUAAUUUUCAAUCAAAACUCUUUUUUUUUCCAAAAAAAAUCUCAAACAAAAUGGAAUAUCUACAAUUACCCCUCUUUGCACAAUUUUUGUGAAAUAGGAAUUGUGCAAAGUCAAAAGACAUCCAUUUUGUUUGGGUCCAAAUUAUUCAACAUUUUUUUUUGUUUGAAAGGCUACUCAAAAAUGAAAGCACACAACUUAUAAAUUACAUCAAAAAAACUUGAAAAUUAAGCUCGGAGGUCUUACAAAUCAUUCUUAACAUUAAAAAAUUAUAUUUUAAAACAAAGACUUCACAUUUUUUUUUAAAAGAGGUACCUUUAAGAUCAUGUCCAAAGGUUUUAUAAAUCAUACCCGGAGGUCUUACAAAUCUCAAAUCUAAAAUAGAUUCAGCUUAAAAGACUUAUGAAUCUUAUCUGAAGGACUUAGAGAUUACACUCAAAGGUAAAAGGUCUUAUAAAUCUCGACUAUAAAAUAGAUUCAGCUCGAAAGACUUAUAAAUCUUGCUUGAAGGACUUGGAGAUUAUGUUUGAAGGUCAUACAAAUCUCAACUCUAAAAUAAAUUUAGCUUAGAAAACUUAUAAAUCUUACCCAAAGUUCUUACAAAUCAAAUUUCAAAAAUGCUUCUUUAAAACAAAUGUUCAACCACUUUAAAAGAAAAAUGGAUAUUUAUAGGUUUUAAAAAAAAUCAUGCCCAAAGGUCUUAUAGAUCUUGCCAGAAGAACUUUAAAAAAAGCUUAACAGUUUUAAAAAUGUACCCAAAGGUUUUUAAGAUUGAUAAUAAAAAUUUUAAUAAAUAUACCCUGAGGUAAAAUCUUGUUUGAUAAAAAAUUUCCAUUUUAUCAAACAUCAUUUUCCCUAGAAAAAUAUGAAUGCAACAUAUGAAAUAAAAGUGGUGCAUACAAUGCAUGAAAUGCAACAAAUGAAAUGCAUGAAUUCUAUAUCAAAUGUUUUUAAUUAUGGUAAUAGGAUUCUUAAGACUUUUUCUUCCUUCCAUCUUUCCAUGACAUAGCCUCUUAAUUAGUUGACAAGUUCUUUCACACCCUAAAGCAGAUAUUCUCAACAUUUUCAUUUUUGAAAACCAUUCUUUUCAUAUAGUGAGUUAUUUCAAUAUCAAUCCCUUACAUUUGGCAUUUUCUUACCUUAAAUAGGUCUCUUAUAGCAUUCAUUUAUCUCCCACUACGAGCAUUGAGAUCCAACACAUUUUAAACAUUUCUCAAAACUUUCCAAGAAUAGCAAUGGAAAUUGCCCUACACAACUCUCUUUCGUAUGUGAUUAAAUCUUUUAAAAAUUGGUGAUUACUACCUCAAAUAAGGAUGAUGAAUCAUAACUUAACUCUUCUACAAUGAUGCAAUGAUUUGGCAUAUUAAGAAGGAUCUUAAUUACCAAAAAAAUUUGGCCACAAAAUGAGAACAAGAACAUCUUUUCAUCUAGGCUUACAAUUGAAAAUAGUCUUUUAAAGUGUAAUUUAUUUUGGCAUUCCUUUCAGUUUUUGAUAUGUAAAAUUUUAAUAAAUGUCAAGACCAACUAUGUUAGACUCAAAUUUCAAGUCUGAAAAAAAGAACAAGGCCUAAAUUUUAAAGGUAAUCUUCAUAGUGAGAUCAACCUCAUUAGGCUUUUGAAAAAAAUUCUCCUUGGUGCCACAUGAAAAGCAUGAGUUGCUUUCAAAGUUUCAAUCUUAUUCUAGACUGCCUUUUCGAGUUUUCACCCCAAAGCUUCAUUUUUUUUCUUUUCUUUUCUUUUUUUUUUUUAUAUUCGAUCAUGCAUUUGAACAUUUAAAAUUCAUCAAAAAUAAAAAACUAAUGGCGAUUUUCUAAAGAAAAACUCUUUAAUUUAGAUAUCUACGUUUGAUCAAAAUUGACUUUUUAAAGGAUAUAACGUAGGCUGGGGUUUAGGGUUUUGAAAGAAAUGAUAAAUAGGCCCAUAAAUGUAUUUAUAGGUGAUCAAAUCAAGCAUCAUUUCUUUCCUAGAAACAUCUUUCCUUUUCUCAAAACAUCCCUUUUCACUUUUCACUUUUUUUUUAUUCUUUUUUUUUUACAUGAGUUCAAAAUUUUUAAAACUCAUCUUAUUUCAAGCUUCCUCCUUAACAUAAAGUAUUAUUUUCUAACCCUCAAUUCAAGAUCACAUACCCUCUUGAUGAGAUCCCUUUUCUUCUUAAACUUGCCCUUAAAUUUGAAGGGUAAUCCUUGGUUAGGGUUCAUUCAGAAAGAAUAAUCAAUAGGCUCAAAAGGGAUAGUAAAUAGAUAUUUUCUUCUUUUGUGAAGGGAAAUUGAAAGAUGACCAUGUUUCAUUUCAAGUAUGGAUACCUAUUGAAAAGAAGUUUUCAAGAAACCACUUGUUUUUUUAUUGACUUUAGGUUUAUUUAAAUACCCCAAAUACAUGAUUUCACAAUCAAUCUUUUUUGCUUUUUUUUUUUGGCAACUCAUGCAUUUUGAUAACAAAGUCAUUUAAGAGUUCAUCAAUCAGAAUGAUUAAAAGAGUUAUUUAGGACAUCAAGUAAAUUUAUCUUUUUCAAUAAAUUUAUCCUAAAAUGAGUUCAGAGGAUUAUUUGGUAAAAGAUUAAAAAAGAAGAUGAAUGUAGGACAAGCCAAAACACUAAACAAAUUGAGAAAAUAUGACUCAAGAAAUUUAGAUGGUAAAGUGUUUAAAAUAACCUUGACAUUUAUUAAAUGAUCAAAAUUCAAAAAACUUAGGAAAGUACCUUAAAAGAUUUACACAUUAAUCAACCAUCACAUUACUUAGCCCAAACAAAGAUCAAUAAUUUUUAAAGUUAUCAUGGUUAAAUAGGGUGAAGUUCUGAAACUUUCAUCCCUAAAAAUUCUCAAGGUUUUUAAUCUUUAAAUUGAAAAGAAUGAAAUGUUUAGAGAAAUGGCUCAAGGUACCCAUUUCUAAUAAUAAUCACCAAUGAGAUUUUUUUCACCUGCAUUUGUAAGAACCCAAACAAUCAAAAUUCAUCAGAAACCAAUGACUUCAUUUCUAAGAAAUCAAUAUACAAGAAGUAAUCAACCUAUGAUAAAACAAUUUUUCAUUGCUCAAAAAGCUUUUGGGUCAAGGUGCCACUAUGGAUGAAGCUUUCAACCUUUUCUUUCAAUUGUCUACAUUUCUUAGUCGAAUGUCUAAUUGCCCCCACGUGAUAAUCACAUUUAUCAUCUAGGUCAUAACUCUUGGUUAAUGGAUUCAAAGUUGCUUUCAAAGGUAAUAGGGUGAGGUACUGGUACUUUACCAAUAGAGGUAAAAUAUCAAAAUUGAAAUUGGGAUUAUCACUAGACUAUUUCUUAAUCUUUUUUGGCCAUUCAAUGGUCGAGUAACAGAUUGGGCAUAAUGACUUAUAUGAAUAGUUGAUUGUUGGGUUGGUUGGUAAAAAUAAGAAUUCUAAAAAAGAUUAUUUACAGUAGGGUUGUAAGGUUGGUACAUCAUAUAUAGGAUAAAACUUAUAACCUAUUUCCCUUUAUACAUCAUGACUUGAACAUCUUCUCUUUCCAUUCUUGGUACACACACAUCCUUUAUGCCAGGUGCAUUAUCAUUUUUAAGCUUUUCACUUUUCAUGGUAUUAUCUAUUAUCCCUCAUGAUAUGACCAUAUCGAUAAAAUUAUUUGUUACAUUUUCAAUCAUCUUUUUCAUAAUAUGAAGCCUUAAGAGUAUUGACAACAAGAUUGUAGUUUCUUUUUCUAUUAAAGGAGGUUAAACCUAGGUAGCAACACCCUUUCACCUUUAAGCAUAUUCUUUAAAACUUUCAACAUCUUUUUUCUGCAUAAUUUGUAGAGAUAAUCGAUCAGGGGUUAACUCUACAAUAUGCUUGUACUAAGUUAUGAAUGCUCUAGCCAAUUCUUUUCACAAAGUGAUUUUAGUUCUAUCCAACUGAGCAUACCACAUAGCAACAGAUCUUAUAAAACUGUCUUGGAAUACAUGAAUGAAAAGUUUGUCAUCAUAGGCAUGGGUAGCCAUCUUUCUACAGUACAUAAUGAUAUAGGUCAUUGGGCAUUUAGUCUAAUCAUGUUUCUUAAAUUCUUGGACCUUAAACUUGGGUGGAACAAUCUCAUCUAGCAUCAAACAAAGCUCCAAUGCAUUCAUAGAUCCAUAAAAAUCUAUUUUUUCAAUAGUUCAAAGCCUUUCUUUUAUAAGAUCCAUUUUCUUUUGAGCUUCUAACUUUUCAGAAUCAUCAAGGAUUGUAAUUGAUGAAGUUGUUAAAGGUAUUUUAGAACAAAAGUAUGCCCCAAAAGGUGAUGCUUGCUGUGAUUGUGCCUUUUGGGAUACUUGUAUAUGGGCUUCUUCCACAUCUUUAUCUCUGUUCAAAUUUUUUAGCAUUUUCGUUAUCUGGGCUAAAUCUACUCUGUUUUUCUUAAUUUGACUAUGCUAUUUUAGCUCCAUAAGUGGUAAAGAGAUUACCGUGAUAAUCAGGCUCUUGAACCUUAUUGUCACAAUUAAGAAUUAGGAUAAUGUCUACUACGAAUUUAUACAAGAAAAGAAAAAAAAUGUAUAUAUGAAUGGAUGCAUGCGUUAAAUGCUAUCACAUAAUAAGAAAAAUAAGAAAAAAAUCUCUAAUUAAAAAUUAAAAAUUGUUCUAACAAAAGCAUCUAAAAACAUUCCUAGGAAAAAUCCUAAAAUCUAUUGCCUAAUCUUAUUCUCCAGCUUUAAGAUCACAGUGAUGCCAUGGACAAGUCCUUCAGCCACGAUAAUUAGGCAAUACCCUUUUAACAAUCUUAGGCUCUCAUUUAUCCUCAAAACUCAAUGCAUCAUCUCUGAUUAAACCUUGCAACUUAUAUUUGAAAACAAAGUAAUUUUUUGUUGAAUGGCCUUUAUUCCCAAAGUGAUAAUCACAUCAAGCUUCAGGAUUAAACCAUUUAGGUUAAAGUGGUUUUAAUGGCUCUAAAAGAACUAGUACAAUCAGAUAAUUUUCAAAAAGUAGUAGGAAUAAUUAAGUGUAAGUCACAGGGAUUGGAUCAAUGAUGGCUCUUUUUUUUUUUUUUACUCAAUGAUUAUUUGGGUUGAGUAUUUUUUUGACUCAUAGGUACAGAUCUUAGAAUAGAAUUAGGUGUAUAUGCCUAAAGGUUUAUUGGGAAGCUUGGCUGCUGGAUAGGUUGAUAAAUACCAAGAUUUUGAAAAGCAUAAUUCAUAAUCGAAAAAGUAUAUGGGUAUGGGCCAAUUUGUGAAGGUUGAAUAGGAAUAGUUUUGUUUAGGAUGCCAAAAAGAUUGUUUAGGAAUAAUCAGCUGGGGAUUUGGGUAUGAACCAAUCUGCGAAAUUGGUGUAAGGUUAAAAAGCCUUAUCUUUUCUAUUUUUUUUUACUUGGUCUUGUCUUAGGCUGUUAGAUGCAUCGACAUGACUUGGACUAGCAUUAGUGUUAUAAGAGGCUUUUUGAUUUUAACAAGAUGGCUGCUUAAUGCACACACGAAUUGGAGUUGAUAAAAAUUCUCGAGAAUGGGCCGCUUCAAGAUUUGCCAACCUUUCCAAACUGUCCACGCUCCCGGUGCCGGAAGUUGUACCUCGUCUUUGUUCAAUUCACCCAUCUUUCCAUUUCGGUAUUUACUUCCUCACCCUCCUCCCAAUGAAAUCCUAAACAAGUCCAUACCUGCUUUGCCCAUUCAUAAUCCUUCACUGCAUGUGAGACUGUCUCACUUGCAUGCCUGUACCUGUGGCAUUCCGAGUUCUCAACAAUUCUCAUAUGAAAUAGAUUUUGUUUGACUGGAGAUCUCAUGGCACACCCGCCACAAAAAUAUCUUGAUCUUCAUUGGGAUUUGGAUUGCCCAGAUUCUGCUCCAAAUGUGGUUUGGUUGACUGUCCUGCUGGUUCCCUAUCACGCUUCCUUCAUUUCCAACCAGUAUUCUGCUGAGAAAUGUGUAAACACUUCUUACCGUGAACUCCCCUGAAUAAUCGAAGUGCCAUAUCAACUUGUCCAGUAGCCCGUUUCUACUGAGUGGCAUCGCACAUAUUGCAUCUGCCUCUUGCAAUGAGAACCGUUCUCUAAUGGCUUCCCAAUUCCACAAUUUUGUCCGCUCGUCCACCAAGGUUGCUACUGUCUCGUCUAUAUUCCAAUUCCCUCUUUCUGUGGUCAGAUGAAAAUUUUCUGUGAAAGGGAUCCAGCUAUCCCUCUAAAUUUUCACUGAUCUUCCUUCUCCAAUUCUCCACAUCAUUCCUUUUUGUAGGAUGCCUUUCACUGCCCAAAUACUUUUCCACGUAAGUGAAGGUGCAUUGCCUAAACCAGCUUCCCUAAAAUUUCCAUAUGGGAAAUAUUUGGUCUUUAAAAUCCUCUGCUACAAGUAUCCAUUUUGUUCAAUAAUCUCCAAGCGUGAUUCGCCAUGUAGGGCUUUGUUGAAAGUGGCCAUAUCUCGAAAUCCCAGUCCUCUAUCCCUUUUCGGCAAAUAUAGCUUUGGCCAACUUAACCAAUGAAUGCCUCGUUUGUCCUUCUCGUGCCUCCACAGUAAUUGGAAAUUAUCCUGCUAAACUCAUCACACAAAGAGCAUGGUAAAAGGAAGACACCCAUUGCAUAGGUAAGGGUUGACUAUAACACUGCAUUUAUAAACACCUCUUUUCUUCCUUGUGAAAGAAUUCUUUAGCUCCACCCAUUCACCUUUACGCUUAUCCUGUCCUUUAAUUCCUCAAAAGACCUCUUCUUGUUACAACCAACCUUGGACGGAAGACUCAAGUACUUUUCGAUGUUUGUGGUGGAACGAAUUUCAAAGAUGUUUUGUAUCAGUGACUGUUGUGACUCAUUAAUGUUUCAGCUAAAGAACAAGGCUGAUUAAUCAAAAUUAAUUUUCUGGCUGAAGCAGUCUUCAUAUCUCUGGAGCACGUCCUUCGCCCUCUCACUUUCGCUCCUAUUCGCCAUUGCAAAUAGCAGACUAUCAUCAGCGAAGAAGAGAUGAUUUACUCUCGGGCCAGCUCAACUUGAUCUUAUUCCAUGUAAACUACCUUGUUUCUGCUCCAGCUCAACUUGCUCUUAUUCCAUGUAAACUAUCUUGUUUCUGCUUCACAUCUAAUAGGGCAGACAAUCCUUCCGAGCACAUAAAAAAAAAGAUAAGGCGAAAGUAGAUAUCCUUGUUGAAGUGCCCUCUGAUAACAAGAGAAUAACUAACAGAAGUAACACAUUUCAUAACAGAAGCAAUCCAUCUAUUAUGAAACCCCAUUUUUCACAUUAUUGUUUUAAGAAUAUUCCAUUCAACCCUAUCAUAGGCCUUGCUCAUAUCUAGCUUCAAAGCGAAAAUCCUAUUCUUCCCAUAUUUUUUGGAUUUUGAGGUUUGGAGUGGUUCAUAGGCUACAAGGAUAUUAUCUGUAAUAAGCCUACCUGGUACGGAAGCACUUUGGGUCUCACUGAUACACAAGUAAAGUGAUUUUUAAUCUAUCCAUUAGAACUUUUGAAAUGAUUUUGUAAAUCACAUUGCAGAGACUUAUAGACCUAUAUUGGGUUAUCUUGGUGGGAUCUUUGACCUUGGAUAUAAGGACAACAUGGGUUAGGUUAAAAUCGGACAAGUCCCUAGCAUCAUUCAACACAGAGAGGCAAAACAAAGUCACAUCAAUUCCUAUAAUAUGCCAAAAUUUUUGGAAAAAAAAUAAAAAGGGCAGGCAUACCAUCAGGUCCUGGUGCUUUGUUGAGAUGCAUUUGUUUUAUAGCCUGUUGGAUCUUCCGCUUUAAAUUUUACGAGUAAGCUUUUGUUCAUCUCGUCUGUUACUUGGGUUUCCACUACCCCUAAGAUCUUGUAACAGUUGGAAGAAUUUUGUGCUCUAAAUAAAUCCUUGAAAUAGUCAGUGGCCACGCAAUAUCCGCUUCCUCCUCGCACCAUUUUCCACCAGCAUUAUCCAAACCCCAAAUAAAAUUAUUUUUUUCCUAUUUUUCGUCUAGGCAUGGAAAAGGGCUAUAUUUCUAUCCCUCUCUUUAAGCCAGGUUAUUCUAGACCUCUAUUUCCAGUAUACUUGUUCUUUUUCAAUACACUGAUUAAUCUCCUACUUUGUUCUUUGUUCAUGCUUCAAAACCUUCUUCACUCGGUGCUGCUGACUUUGUCAUUAAAAGUUCCUCCUUAAGCCUUUUCAUAUUUUGUUACAUGGAUCCCACCUCAUUCACAUGCCAAUGCCUAAGCUGGAUCCCCACGUUCUCCAUUUGUUCUUUUAUUGAACACCCAUUCUUAGCUUCACAUGCAUUGUUUAUUAUUUUUACACAACCUGUUUCUUUAGUCCACCAUGCUUCAACCAUAAUUCUAUGCUUUUCCUUUUUGGUGCUUUCCAAUCCUUUCCUCCCUUGCCGUGCUCACCAUGAUUGAGAUGUGGUCCGAUGUUGACACUACAAAAUGUUGUACCUCAUAGUCUAGGAAAAUAUCAAACCACCUUUUGUUUUCCACCACGUAAUCCAGCCUUUCUCGAAUGUUGUUUUCUUCAGUGUUGCCUCUCUCCCAGGUAUACCACUGUCCCUUAAAUCCCAAAUCCUCCAAACCACUGUCCAAUAAAGCGUCUCGGAAUGCUUCCAUCUGAGUUUCUCUCCUUAGUGGCCCUCAUGAUUUUUCAUGGUUCCACAUUACCUCAUUAAAAUCUCCCAAACAAAUCCACGGUUUAUCACUUUGUCCUGCAAAAUGUCGAAUUAAAGCCCAUGAUUCAUCCCUCUUACUCGUUUCAAGUUCACUACAAAAGCCAGUUAACCUCCAAUUAUUUUGAUCCCGUUCCCCUUUGACUUUUAUAUCAAGGUGGUUUUUCAAAAAAACUUUGAAACUGUAAGGAUAUCUCUUCUUUCCACAUUAUUGCUAAGCCCCCUCUACUGCCUUCAGCAUCCGCUCCAAAGCAACCCUCAAAAUCCAUAAUUUCUUUUGAUUCUAUCUAGCUUUCUUGCAUGUGGCUUAGUUUCACUCAGAAAUAUUACACGAGGAUCUUUGCUCUUCACCAAAUCCAGAAGAGCCCGAACUGCUCGUGGGUUCCCAAGAUCGUGGAAGUUCCAUCCUAUGCACCUCAUUGACCCCGGUAAGACUAGAAUCCAGUCUCCGUUGAUUUUUCUGAGAAUUGUACUGCUUCCUCAUCACCUUCAUAGCUUCUCUUCCCCUGGUUAUCAAUCUCCAUGAAGUCACAUUCUUAUCACCCAUUUUCCUUUUCCCAUCUAUUUUCGCCAUGGUUGUUCUACUUCUACUUGCUUUCUUGGCUUUCUUUUUCCAUCCUUGUUUAUUCCCUACUUGUCUCCUUUGCACUGUCCCCAUAUCCUUUUUAAAAGACGUUGCCUCCUCAUCUUGUAACGCCACUUUAUGGGUAGUUUCCAUACCAUUUUGUCCACAUGUGCCUCCAUUAAUAUUUUCCCUCUGCCAUGCAAUUCUAUAUUCUGUGGUUGCUCAUUAUUCUGCAUUAAAGACUGUCCCAUGAUCUCGUCCCUUGUCAGUUGCUUGAACCAAGAUUCCCUAGAUGUCAACUCACUUUCUUUUGUAUGAUUUAUAGGAGAAUCUGCAUGGGUAUGAGCUGGUCUCCCAUUUACUCCCUUUGAUUUGGUUGCCAAAAAUCCUCCAUUCUCAUUCCCAUAUCCCUUGUCAUUACUACCAGUUUCAUCUGCUCCUGUUUUCUCGGAAUUUCCAUUGUUUCCUGGCUUGGAUUGUUCUCCGACCACCCUCUUGUGAUGACGAUUGGCCUGUGUUUUUUUGGGAGCUUUCCUGUUCGUUCAUUCCUCUAUUAUCUUUUCCUCCUUUCCCAUUAGUUGUUCCCAUUAAUCCCGAACCAACAAUUCUGCCUUCUCCCCUCCUCAUCGUCCCCCUUACCCUAUUUGUGGUUACUCUUAACCAGUCACCAUAUUGCCUCUUCUCUGUCUGCUCUUCCUCCUUGUCAUUGUUUGAUUCACACUCAGUCUCUGUGUGACCUAACUUGCCACAGAUGUAGCAAAAAAUUGGUAGUCCAUCGUAUUUGAGUUGGCCCCAAACUUCUUUUGCCCCUCUCCUUGCCAGAGACACGAACCUUCGAAAGGGUUUUGUAAUGUCAAUCUCCACUCUAAUCCUCAAAAAACUCUCCCUUUCAUUGUCCCUAUUGAAUUUCCUAUCGUUUCUGCCACUACUAUGUUCAUCAUUCCCAGGGGUAGCCCAUAAAUUAUGAUCCAGAACAAGGCUCUGUCAAACUUGUACUCAUUUUGCGGAAGUUCUCGAUCAUAAUAUUUGAAUGUUAUGAGGUCCUUGUCAAAUGACCAUGGUGAUCCAUCUGGAACCCUUUUCUUGUCACUUUUUUAUCCAAACUUAAACAAGAACAGAUUCUCUUCAAGCACCGUUGUUGUCAUCUCCUUGCCUAAUUUCCAUAUCACCCUUAGCGUGCCAAAAAUUGCUUCCUUAUCGAACGCUUGUGAAGUCAAAAGACUUCCAACCAUCCAUUGUUCCUCAUUAUAAUCAGCUUUUAUGUGAUCAUACUCUAUGAUUACACAUUCUUUCUCCAUCUCAGUUAGUCUUAGGUUUUUCCAUUCAUCCACCAAUUCUCUGCCAUUACCAACUGAUCACGUAUGCAACCUUAAUUGCCCAAUGACUAUCUAACACAAAAAACUACCAACCCCUCGAGAUCUUGAGGGAAGAAAACUCUCGUACAUGAAAAGACGAAAACCUCUCACAAAUCCUAAGUUUUGAAGAGAUUUUUUUGUUUUUCCAUACUUUUAUAUUUUGUUGAUGAUAGAUUCUUUGUAGCUAUUAUGAAGGUUCAAAAGGAGUUAUAUGCCUCGACUAAUGACUUAAAUAUAUUCAAAGUUCACUUAUGUGCUUUGGCAAUUGAAUUUUGUAGCAUAUAAUAGUUAGUAUUUUUUUUUUUAAUCAAUAGUUAGUAAUACUUAAUAAUGCAAGGUUAGGAGAUUUCUUAAAUUUAUUCAUUUAUUAAAAAAAUAUGUUAUAUUAUUUUAUUUUUUGGGUAACUUUUUUAUUGAAGAAAUAUAUUUAUUAAACAAUUAAGUUUUAAUUAAAUUAAUGUUAAUUCUUAUUUUCAUAUUUAUUUUUAUUAAAAUUAUAUAUUGACUUACUAAUUCAAUGAUUUCCUUAAAAUAAAGUGAAUCAAAUUCUAACUUUGAUUAAAAACAUACUAAUCAAUCUAAAGAGUUAGUUUUUAUACAUUGGUAAGUUGAAUUUUUUUAAAGUAAUUUUUUUUUUUUUUUUUGCUUUCAAUUCAAUAAUUAAGUUUAAAAUGAUAUAUAUUAUUGAUAUUCAUGUGGAUUUUUUAACCUCAUUUUUUUUUUCAAAAUUGCAUCUGUAAUCUUUAAUAAUUUCUAUUGACAUAAAAGUCUUUGACAAUUAGUUUUUUAAAUUGAGUACAAAAAUCAGCAACUUUCUUGAAUCUAAUUUCCAACAUUGCAUAAUAAUUUGAAAUACUGGACAAAAUUAAAAUUUAACUUUUCAACAUCUUAUCUAAUUAUAAAAUAAUUUACUAUGAAAAAAAAUUUGGAGAGCAUAUUAACUAAAAUAAUUAUACUAUAAUUAGCUAAUCAGAUUUUAAAAUUAUAUAAGAUCUAUCAAAAUAUUAUGUAAAGUUUACUCUUAUAAGCGAUAGACUCUUACAUAAUUUACAAUUGCAAUCAGAUAAUUAUAAUAAAAAAAUUAUAGUUGAAAUACUCUUAUACACAAAAUUGAUUUUAAAUGGAUUAACUUUCAAUUGUUUGAAAUCAAAUAUUAUUAAAUUUUAUUUAAAUAUCAUUUAUUGUAUAUAUGAAUAUGAUAAAAAAAAGUUUAUCUAAACUUUUUUAUAAUUACAUAUUAAUCUUAGAUGUUUAUAUUUUUACGUACUUAUUUUACAUCAAAAUUUUUAUUUUUAUAAAUUUAUUAAUUUUAUUAUAAUUAAAUAAAUUUUUUAUAUAAAUAAUUAUAUAUCCGUGCAUCACGAAUUUAAAAUUAAUCAUAAAUAAAUGUGGUAAGUCCUAUUAAGAUUUUUACAUGUUUAAAAAUUUUGGUGAAUCAUUGGUGGCACGUAUAGUCGUAUCGUGCAUCACAAGGAUAUAAUACAAGUAUUGCAUGACUUCGGCACCACUACUCAAAUCAACGUUUCGGGCCUGUUUCCUGGUGUUGAGAAGAAAAUAGUUGCAUGGUAUUUGGCAUUGCCAACUCAAAAAACCUCUGCAAAAUUAGUGCUAUUAGGAAUUGAAUAUGAUCCUCACCAGACUCAAACUCCCAUCACUCCCCAAAUCCCCAACAUUCCCUUUUGCAUUUCGUUUUUCAACUUCUCCUCCACAUCACCAUCUGCAACAACAACCACCCAUCACCAACAAGCCAUACUGGACCAACAAAAUCCACAACCUCUGCACUAAACACCGCAACGUCGACGAAGCGCUUCGCCUACUCGACACCCUCUGCCUCCACGGCUACCACCCUGAUUCCCUCAACCUCAGCAGCAUAAUCCACGCCCUUUGUGAUUGCAACCGCUUUUCUGAAGCUCACCAUCGCUUUCUUCUCUUCUUGUCUUCUCACUUAGUCCCCGAUGAACGAACCUGCAAUGUCCUCAUUGCCCGCUUACUCUAUUCUAAAACCCCACUUUCCACAUUUCAUGUUAUUCGUUCGUUACUGUAUGUCAAGCCCGAGUUCGUGCCUUCUUUAACAAAUUUUAACCGUCUAAUCGAUCAAUUUUGUACGGAUUUACGUGUUGAUAUUGCGCAUAGGUUGUUUUUUUACAUCAAGAGUAAAGGACAAUUUCCUAAUGCUGUUACUUACACUACUUUAAUUAAUGGUUAUGCUAGAGUUGGUGAUUUAGCUGCUGCCUUUAAGUUGUUUGAUGAAAUGCGUGACUGCGGAGUGUUUCCGAAUUCGCUUACUUAUAGUGUUCUCAUUCGUGGGGUUUUUAGGAAAAGAGACUAUGCGUACGCAAUGGAAUUGAUGAACAAACUUUGGGAGAGAAUGAAGGAUGUAAAGGACGACCCUGCUGUGAACGCGGCAGCUUUUGCUAAUCUUAUUGAUUGUUUAUGUAGAGAAGGGUAUUUCAAUGAAGUUUUCAGAAUUGUUGAAAGUAUGCCUCAAGGGAAGAGUGUAAGUGAGGAGUUUGCUUAUGGGCAUAUGAUUGAUUCUCUUUGUAGAGCUGGGAGGAACCAUGGCGCUUCUAGGGUUGUCUACUUGAUGCGCAAGAAAGGUUUUGUGCCAAGCUUAGUUUCUUAUAAUUGCAUUAUUCAUGGACUUUGUAAGGAGGGAGGUUGUAUGAGAGCCUAUCAGUUGUUUGAGGACGGAUUUGAGUUUGGCUACUUGCCAUCCGAGUACACUUACAAGGUUCUAGUAGAAGGGCUUUGUCGAGAAUCUGACUUCCAUAAAGGGAGGCAAGUUUUACAUUUCAUGUUGAAUAAGAAAGGUGCGGAUAGAAUUAGAAUUUACAAUAUAUAUUUACGAGCACUUUGCCUUGUGAAUAAUAACCCAACUGAAUUUUUAAAUGUACUUGUUUCUAUGCUUCAGAACCAGUGUCAACCUGAUGUCAUUACCUUAAACACGGUUAUCAAUGGAUUUUGCAAGAUGGGAAGAAUUGAAGACGCUUUGCAGGUACUAAGUGACAUGAUAAAUGGGAAAUUUUGCGCUCCUGAUGUGGUGACGUUCACUACAGUUGCCUGUGGUUUAUUAGAUGUGGGAAGAACACAAGAAGCCCUUGAUGUAUUGAAUCAGAUAAUGCCUGAAAGAGGUUUAAGGCCUGGUGUUAUUACAUAUAAUGCAGUUCUUCGUGGUUUGUUUAAAACCCAACAUGCAGAUGAGGCCAUGGGGGUAUUUAAUUGCAUGGUAAAUGAGGGUGUGACUGCCAACUGUACCACGUACGCUAUAGUUGUUGAUGGAUUAUGCCAAUAUGGCCAAAUAGAGGAGGCAAAAAAGUUUUGGGAUGAUGUUAUAUGGCCUUCACAAAUUCAUGAUGAUUUUGUAUAUGCAGCUAUUCUCAAAGGGCAAUGCCAAGCAAGCAAUUUUAAUCUGGCUUGUCAUUUUCUAUAUGAACUGGUUGAUUCUGGUGUCACUCCUAAUACUGUGAGCUAUAACAUUGUGAUUAACAAAGCUUGCAAGUUGGGUUUGGAAAAAGAAGCCUAUCAAAUUGUUGGAGAAAUGAGAAAGAAUGGACUGGAACCAGAUGCUGUAACUUGGAGGAUUCUUGAAAAACUACAUGGUGAUGUAAGAAAAACAUUUUGUACAGACGAUUCACUACUAAAAUCUUGAGAUGUAUGAAUAGGUAGGCUCAUUCAACAUUGCCUAGCUUCUAUAAAAUGCAAUUGCUAGUGUGAGUUCUUUUGCUGCAGCCUGCUUCAUUCAAAGCGACUGGCAAGAAAAGAAUAAAAUUGCCAAUGCCAUUCCUAAAUGAGACACAAAAUAAGCAGCUUUGGAGGAACCAUAUGCACACAGGAAUUACAGUAAAUCUGAACUUGAAAGCAUUUCAGCUGUUUUUGUCGAGGUACGAUUAAUAGUCUAAUGAGAGGAGCUAAAGGCGAGUAGGCGUCAUGCAAAAGAGUAUGUAGGAGGCUGGCUUCAGAUGUCAACAUAAAGGCAUGUUAGAAAGGCUCUGUGUAUACUCAUUUACUUGAAUUAUACCUACCUGAUAGUCAGAAAUAUUAUAUUCAAACGGUUGAAUUGCAUUAAUAAACUACAGCAGUUCAUAUUUAUGUUCCCAGGGAAACAUUUCUUGAUUCUUUCACUACAAAAAUUAGGUUACUUGUUAGCAUUUUAUUUCUGGCAGUUGCUGUAACCCCUUAAGACUUUUAUAUUAAUAAAAUUUUCCUUAUGGAGUUAAGAAUUGCCAGCUGAGGAGCCUGAUUAGUUCCCUUCAUUUUUAUUCUCCCUUUCCUCAUGAAGCCCUCAUCAAACCAAUGCUUGCUUUCCAUCACCUCCCCUUCUUAACAUUGCUCUCUCAGUGCUCUUUUUCCAUCAUUGUCAUGUCCGGUGAUUCAUGCAGAUGAGGACAGCAGCAGUUCUUUGUCCCCUUGGACUUUAUAUUAUUUUGCCAUUAUCUGGUUCCUUCUCUCUCUAAUCUAAGCCUAUUCGAUAUUCUUCUUCCCUCCAGCAAACUGCACUUUCUCCACGGGUAAGCUUUCUCUAAUUUUCUCAAAUUUUCUGACACAUUUUGUUGCUCUGCAACUCUCGACUUGCUGCCUUGCUCAGUCCUUAACUUUCCCCUCUAUUAGUCUUGCGUAAGAACUGGUUUGUUUUACAAUUUUCUUGGAAAUUUUUAGCACAUUUCAGUUUCCUGAUUUCUGUUCAUGUAAGAUAUGGCACCAUUGUUGUCACAUUGAAGAUUCUUUCCUCCACUAGUGCUCAAGGUCUCUCUCUAUGAAACCCGCCAUUUCUCAAUUGGUCUGAUAGCCGCUGCCCUCGCUUGAGAUUCUCACUGUUAUUUUGGUCUUUGAUUCACUUUGUAGGAUGUUAUUUUCUUGUUUCCAAGUUUCUGAGUUUUAUGCUAUAGUUAGAUUUAUUUUUGGCUUAGAGUUAAUUCAAUUUCAAUUUUAAGGAUAUUUAUAUAAUUAUCUUCGGACAAUUAAAAUUUUGAAUCAGAGUUUGUAGCACUAAUUUGCUGCUUUCAGUUAUCUCCUUUUAGUAAGACUCUGGAUUUAAGUAGUUAUCCAUUUAAAACUUGAAAUUUUAGAAACAAAAGUUGCUGGUUCAGCUCUUAUGUCUGAUUUAUGUGUUUUAGGAUACUGAAGCCAAUUUUUGGUCUAUUGCUACUUAAAAGACUCUAAAUUCACUGAGCUAAUAGGCAAUAAGAUAGCCUUGGAUUUGUUUUGCGUAUCAGAGUUGCUUUGCGGUGGAUCUUUUAUAUUUGAAUCAGAUUUAAAUGUGACGGUGAUGUCGGUGUUGAAUGCUUUGAAUCAGAUUUAAAGGUUACGGUGAUAUCGGUGUUAAAUGAAGACAGUCUUUGAAAGUUUGGUUUUGAGAAAGUACAAUAUUUAAUUUGAAUUUUAUUUUUUUGUAAUUUGAUUCUUAAAAUGUGAUUUCGGAAGAGAAUAAAAACUCUCUUCUUCAUGAGAUUUUAAAAUUUUAGAGAAAAAGUAAUAAAAGUAAUAAAUAUUGAAAUUAUAUUUUUGAAAUUUGAAAAUUUUAGCAAAAACUAAAUUUUUAAUAUAAAAAUUGUAAUGGAUAUUAAAAUUUUAUUUUUAAAACUUUAAAAUUUUAACAAAAGUCAUGUUUUUAAAGUUAAAAAAAAAAAAAAGAGUAGAUGUUGAAACAUUAUACAAAAUUUUGGAAUUUUAACAACGAUUGUAUUUUUAAUAUAAAAAACAUGAUAAAUGGUGAAAUUUUAUUUUCAAAAUUUAAAAAUUUUGACAAAAAUCACGUUUUUAAGCUAAAAAACGUAAUCGAUAUUAAAACUUUUUUUUUAAAUUUAAAAUUUUAAUAAAUAUAACAUUUUUAAGAUAAAAAAUAUAGUGAGUGUUGCUACUCGUAACAAAAUUAAGAUAGAAUGAAUUUUCUUUACGUAAGGAUAAUAAAUGUAAGUAUAUUAAUUAAGAUUGUAAAAUUAUAUUUGUUGAAAAUAUAAAAAAAUAUUUUUCAAAAUUCUUUAAGUUCAAUGAAAAUAAUAUGUUAUUCAUAUAUAAUGAAUAUUUUGUUAUUUAUGUGUCAUUAAAGAUAAUAUAAAAAAGAUUUUAUUAAAUAAUUUUAUAUUCUUCUAGAUCAAACAAAACCCAAUAAUUACUAUGGGUGAUAAUGGUUCAGAUCAUAUGGGAUUUAAUUCAGUUUUUUCGGAUCAUUGAUACAUAUUACUACUUGAAACGUACUGUUGUGCAUUGCUUCUGUAGUAAAUCGGCGCUAAUAUUAUGAAUAAAUUCUAGUUUUAAUAUUGUUUGAGCACCUACUCUGAUUCGCAAAUAGCUUUUGCCAUCACUAUUUGCAAAUCAGAGUUCACAAAAUAUUUUUGCAUCUUUGAUUUUCAUUGACUGUUAUGGAUUCCUAACCUUCAAAUGUCAGGCUGCUUCCUCAUAGCAUAAGUUUAUCAUAUAUUUUGCUUUGCUGCUCGAGUUCACUAAGCUAGUCCUCUGUUAAAGGCCAAGCUCAGGAAAUAUGAGCUAUUCUGCCAUUUUUUAUUUUUUAUUUUUUAUAAUUAUGAGUAUUGGUUGUGAACAUAGUAUUAAUAUUCUUUCAAGUCUAUUUAACAAUUUAGGCCAUCUCAGCUAUUAAGAAUUGAUGUUAGCCGUGUCUUAAACCUCUACAUGGUUGGAUGGGUUGAGAAGGGGAUCCAUUCAUAAGAACCUGAUAACUCACUGUGCUAAUGCACUCCCUUAUGAUCCGGACCACUGUUCAUAAAAACGCUUGAUAUUCAUCACCUCUUGGAUGAAGUUCCAGCUGAUCCUAUCUAGGCCUUAUUCAUAUAAAUUUUAACAGCUCCUAAAACACCCUAGCUUUUUUUCCUCCAAAUGAUGUUGAUGAUUUCCCCUCUCAAGAUGAUGUUGUCUAAGAUAAGUCUACCUUUGACAAAUGCAAUUUGGUACAGGGAGAUGAUCUCUCCCAUAAUAAACUUCAGUAUAUUGGCUACUGUCUUUACAAUGCAACAUUGCAAAGACUUAUUGGCAUGUAGUCUGUGACUCCAUCUUGGACUUUUCCCUUAGGAUUUAGAGUACUUGGGAUUUCAUUUAACUCUUUAAGCAAAUACCUAGAGUUUAGGAAAGACAGGGAAGAAGCUUUUGCAAGUUUCCCAACAAUAUCCCAAAAUUUUUGGUAGAAAAGCCCCAGUGUACCAACUAUUCUUGGUGCUUUAAAGAGGCCGAUUUGGAAAGCGUUAUUGAGGCAUUCCUAAUGAUGAUCACUCAGCCAAGGUUAUUGUAACUUCUCUCUCAUUGUUGCCUCCUUUGACCCAAAAGGUUUGUGAAAUAUUGCCGAUAGGCAUUUUCUAUCCUUUGUUGAUUAUCUUUCUAACGGUGAUCAUGGGUAAGCAGUAUCGAGAUUCUAUUCCUAAUUCUUUUCCUUGGAGUACUAGUAUGAUAAAACUUAGUGUUACGAUCACCCUGGAUUAUCUAAUUCAUCCUGGAUCCAAUGGAUUUGUUCUUGUUCGGCCGGCUGUUCAAUUUCAUUUCUUAUCUCCUUUUCUCCGAUGCAGGUUGCUUUAGAGUUAAGCCCUUUCUCUGCCUCUGUAAGCUCGAUGCUUUCAAGUCUCCUCCUUCGUUCUCUUAGAUUUCCAAACACAUUCUUAUUCCAUAUCUUUAGGUUGUUCUGUGUUAUUUUAAGUUUCUAAAUGAGAGUGAAGCAAGAAGAGCCACUAACUGAAUUACUUCAAGAAUUGCUGAUAAUUUCUCUGCAUUAUGGGUGUGUGAUCCACAUGGCUUCAAAUCUAUACGUUCUUCCUCUAAAGUUCCCGUGUUCAUCAGUUAUCAGUAAAUUGGCACCAUGGCCUGAGAAAGUGAUGGGCAGGUUGUUUAAAUAUGCUUUAUCAAAUAUGUAUCAUAAAUAAAUAUUUAAAAUAAUUUUUAUAUGAUUAUGUUAAAUAUAUAAUUGUAUAUUAUAAUUAAAAGCUUAAAAUAUUUUUUAUAUAUUUAUAUUAAAUUAAAAUAAAUAUAAAGACUAUUAAACGUAUUAAAUGCAACAAACAUAUUUCUGUAUCUAAUUCGUAUAUUUGUAUAGCACAAUUUAAUUAAACGAAUUUUCAUGUCUUAUACAUAUCAAAAUUUAUAUCGAUACAAUCAAAUACAUAACAUAUUUUUUAAAAAACUUAUAUGAAUUUUUGAUAUUGUUUUGAUUUCAUAUUAACAUGUUGUAUUUAAAUUUAUCAAGUUUAAUAAAAUCACAUAUUUUUUAUUUAUAUAAUAAUUAAUUUUAAUUUAAAGUAUAUAAAUUAUAAUAUUUAUAUUUAUUUUAAAAUUUUUUUACUUUUUAUCUUUAAUAAAAUUAUAAUAAAAUCUAACUUGAAUUCGAUUAAAUAAUAUGUUUAAAUUUAAUCUAUAAAAAUUAAUAAAUUAACUUAAAAUGAUCUGAAUCCAAAUAAUUCGCAAAUCAAACCUGAAAUACCUAAACUAAAAUAACUAGAACCAGAUACGACCAAAAUCCAAAAUAACCCAAAUACAAAAUAACUUGAAUCUAAAAUAAACUGAAAUUCAAAUGCUCCAGCGCAAAAUUAGCUGAACUCUUUUAAGACGCAUAAUAACCCAAACAAAACUAACCCAAACCAUCCCAACCCGGCUUGCCCAAUUGACAGGUCUAAUCAAAAGGCCUCAAUUCAAAUUCUUAAUUCCACAAGCUAGAUCGCAAUUUUGAAUGGUUUAUAUCUUGUGUUUACGUACAGCAGCAUUGUCAUAUGAAAGACCAAUUUUGGGUUGGUCUUGAAAUGUUUGCUAACAACGUUAUGCUAUUGGGUGGUAAGGUGGGAUGUUAAUGGCAUUGCUGGUGCAGAUGAGUAGUGGGGAGAGGAUCGAAUUAUUGUGUUAAUAAGGCUCAGAAGUUUGCUGAAAGGUGGGAUGCUUGUAGCUUAUUUGAUAUUGGUGCUCGGUAUUUUAAGUUACGUGGUUUCGGAAGCAAUAUGGUAGCGUUGUUUUACAAGAAUACUUGGAUAGAGUCUUAAUGAAUUCAGCUGCACAAGAAACAUUUCCAAAAGCUAAGGUGGUGAAUUUAUCUUAUGUUAGCUCGGAUCACCAUCUUAUUUAAAUACAUUCAAAGUUUUGUCACCGUAAACAACUCAUUUAGUUUAGCAUCAAUUCACAUUUUAAAAUUAAGCUUUGAUUUUAUUUAUUUAUUUUUUAUAUUGUAUUUAGUUUAAAGUUAUUAUUAUUUAAAGAAAAAAAGUUCGGAUCAAACCGAAUUGAUUUAAGAUUGCAGUUCUUUCGGAUUACAACAGUUUUUAUUGGAAUCAAAGUCUGAGCUUGAAUUGAAAAUGAAAUUGAAACUCUUUUCGAUCAAGAGUUCUGAUGAAUUUGAAACAAAAUCCCUAUAAAUUCAGCACCAUAGUUUCAUGAAGGGGAGGAGAGUCUCCGCUAAAGCCAAAUCCUGCAACAAUUUUCACCCUCAUUGUCCACCAAUAAUCACCAUAAACACAGACUCGAUAAGAGCACGACCAAAACUCAGCAAUUGUUCAUCAGCCAAAAAAAACCCAUCAGAAUUCAGCAAUAAACCAAAACAGCUCUGAAAAUCCAGGCAAUCAACCGCCGUGUGAACAGUACCAUAAUCAGAAGCAAUUUCCGGAAUUCAGACCAGAAUCAAGGAAAGCAAACAUUUUUCUGCAAACCAUAGCCACAAGCAGACAAAGGGAAAGCUAAUCAUCAGUUAGUCCAAGCAAAGAAAUCCAAAUUUAAAACAAAAGAAACCCAUUUUCAGGCAAAAACGAACCCAUCACAAAUUCUUCUAGAUAACCCAUAAAUAGUCUCCUGCAAUUGAAAGCCGAACCCAUAGAAAAUCAAACACAAACCUAACCAAGUAACCCACACCCAAAGCCAAACCUAGAAUCAGAAAACAAGCAGAUAAGUAGAAAACUUGCAACAAAGUCACAGCAAGCAAGCACAAUUACAAAGUAUAACACAGUGGUGUUUCGAUGGAGUUGUUGGUCUCAAGUUUUAGGCUUUGAAUAUGUUUGGGUUUUCUUUUUGAAGUUAGACGAUAAAGAGGAUUAGGAAGUGGAGAGAAAUCGGUUAAGGGUUUUCUGGCGACGUCACGAUUCACAGGUGUUCUGGUUUUUUUAUGAGAAAGUAGGUAGUGGCUGGGUUUGAUUGUGGUUUCAGGUAGCUGAGAGAAAAAGAAAGAGGAGGAGGAAGCCCGGUGGUGGCAAACGUCAGUCUUUGGGUUAGUUUGAUAGAAAAAUGGAAGAGGAAGAAUCUGUUUUGUAUGAUGGCAGAAAACAAAGGAAGCAAGAGAGGUGGAUUUUGAUUUUGGAAUUAAAUCCGUGUCCUUGGUUUCCGGCGACGAUCUGCGGCAGCGCACGGUGGUCAGAGAUGGCCGGGAUCUGGGAAAGCUUGAACCCAGCGGGUGUUAUAAAGGUUUUUGGUUUCUGGAAGACUUUGUAGCGAGAAGACACAGUAGAAAAGUUUGUACAGAGAGAAAGCAACUGUGAAAAAUGAAAGAGAGGCCGUGUGUGCUUGAAACGGCAUCGUUUUUGGGCAAUAGGAGGAACCGGUUCAUUCGACUCGCUCCAAGCUCCACUCCUUGUGACCUGAUCGGAGUCCAACCUAACUGAAAUAAUUUAUUCUGGCCCGCAUGAAGAAAUUUCAAGCCCAGUUCUUAUUCAAGCUUAGAUCAGAAUUUUGCUUGGACCAUUAAAAACUCAAUUUUUUUGGACUUCAAUCUGGACUUAGUCUAAUUGGCAAAAUUUUUAUUUUCUGCUUUCAUUUAUCUUGUGUUAUUGUUUAUUAUUUAUUUUAAUUAUGAAUGUUUUAAAAAUGUAAAAAUAAUAAUAAUAUUUUUUGAAAAAAGAAACUUUUCAAUCCUACAAAAUGAUAAGAGGAUUUAAAUUUUAAAUUAUAAAUUAUACCAAAUAAUUGAAGAAUUUCAUAAUGAAUUUUUUAAAAAUAAAUUGUUUUAAAUCUCUUACCAAAUGAUUAAAAGAUUUAAAUAUUGAAUUAAUUAUUACCAAACAUUUGAGGACUUAAUAAAUUUUUCUAAAAAAAAAAAAAUUAAUCCUACCAAACGAUUAAAGAAUUGAAGUCUUUGGGUUAAAUUUUACCCAAAUUAUUAGAAAAUUUAAUGAUUCGUUAAAAUUUCAUAAAAAGGUUUUCAAAUAAAAUCUCAUCAAAUGAUUUGAGGACAUGUAUCAAAAUAAAAUUCCACCAAAUAAUUGGAUGAUUUGAUUAAUUGUUUCCAAAUAGAAAAAAUAUUAAUAAAUCCGACAAUAGAACCUCUUAAGAGUGAGACACGAGUUACCAUAAAUACUCUUGAUGUGAGAAAAUUAUCUUAAAUCACUACUAAAUGAUUGAAGUAAUUUUAAGAUCAAUUUUUAAUAAUUAAAUUUACUUGGGUAAAAUUCAAAAAUAUUUUAAAGCUUAGAUAACAUAAAAUCAAAUUCAUAUCAUCCUUCAAUGGGCGUUGUAAGGAUACUAUAAUCUUUCUCACACGUAACCAUACUCCUAGACUUAGAACUAGUUUUGUGGAUUAGAAUGUAUCAUUUAAAGAUACCUAAGUCAAUGUUGAGAUAUCUCUUUAAAAUGGGAUAGAUUCGGUUAAGUAGCCAAUCACACCUGGACCAAAAAAAAUUAGUGGUGACUCUUUAAAGUCAUGUCUAAUGAUAACUCUACAAAUUUAUACAUUAUGACAGUCAUUCUCCACCUUAGGAUAGUUGACCAUUUAGAUUUCAAGCAACUUUGUUGACUUAUGAGGACUUUGAUAGAGUUUUUUUAUUGGUUUAAGAAGGGGAUUCACUUAUGCAUGCAACUAAUACUGUUACAAAUGCUGUGAAAAAUGGAAUGUGGACUAUUUUGGGAACAUUUUUAGAAUGAAAAGGAUUUUGAUGGCUCGAACUAAUGGUAGUAACUCCUUAAAGUCAAGGUUGGGAUAUCUCUUUAAAAUGGGACAGAUUCGACUAUGUGGUCAAUCGCACUUAGACCAAAAAAAGAUUAGUGGUGACUCUUUAAAGUUAGGUCUAAUGAUAGCUCUACGAAUCUAUACAUUAUAAUAGUUUGGCAGCUCUACUAAAAACGUUAAGAAUCAAGCCAAUAAAUGAAUUUGUGUUAUCUAAGCCUAAUGUUUUCCCUUCUCUUCUUGAUUUAUUUUUCAAGCUUUUAAUAUUUUGUCAUUCACUUGCAUAUGCAUAAUAUGAGCUCUAUACCCGAGCUCUGUCCCUUAGAAGGGAGUAAAGUACUUACAUUUCAUGAGAUUUUAUGUUUUUGCAUGGGCUAGCAAAAUACUUUCACUCAAAUUGAAUCAUUUUGCAUGUAGCUUAUAAUGGGAGAGGAUUUGAGAGCUUUAGUAGUUUGUGAUAGACAAUAAUGUGAGAAAUAAUUUGAAAACCUUUAGAUUUAACCAUAACCACAUUUAGUAAAUUAUAAAAAGCCAAUUUUAGGUCAGAGCCAUGUCUACCCAUUAUUAGAUUGUAACCCUACUUAGGAUAUAUGAGUGAACUUUUUGAACUUCAUACGAAUUUUUAUUUGAUUUCUUAUAUAUUGUUAAGUUGUUGUAUGCCAUAUUUUAAUACAGCAUCAUUAACAUAUACAUUCAUCCAUGUAUUAUAAUAUGACAAACAUUAGCACAUGUAUUCAUUUAUCCAUUCAUACAUUAUUGUACAUACAUUCACGUGUUUAUGCAUCAUAAUUUGUUGUGUCAAGUAUUCAAUGCAUUCAUUCAUUCAUGCAUAUAGGAUCUUUAAACAAAUUAGGUUUUAAAAAAAAAUUUUAAUAUGAGUAUGCUAAUUAUGGUACUUAAGGUCAAGGAUAGCUCCAUUAUUUAAGAACCCUACACAUCACUAAUACAACACCAUAGCCCAAGCCAGACAGGUGGAACAAAAAAACUCCAAUCGUAUUGACAAGAUAGAGAAAAGUCAAAAAGAGCUCAAAAGGGAGUUGAACAAUAUUUUGGAUGCCCUAAAUAAGGUAAAUAAAAGAAAGGGGAUAAAAGAAGCUCCAAGUCAACCAAAGCAUCUAGUGCAAAAUUUAAUUAAUCUUUUGUACCGUUUAAGAUUCAACCCUUAUCAAGGCCAGCCUUUUCAAGGGACAUAAGCAAAAUUUCCUUGGACAUAUAUCUAUGUACCCAUCCAAGAAUGCAAUCUGUUACUACAUAAGGUCAUUUUCAAAGUUAUGUUAAUCUAAACUUUGGGGAGAAAGCUUCAGAACCAAUCUAGGUCUUUAAUCUAAAUGAUCUAAAAAAAAAGAAAAAAUUGAAGUUAAAAGUGGUCAAAUCAUUAGAGGACUCAAAAACUAACCAAAAAAUGAACAUACUUAAAGAAAGGCUACGAGUAGUAAAAAAAAAUUAGUUUUUAUGGUUCAAUGGAUGCUAUUGGGCUCUAUUUAGUCCUAGACGUUGUCAUUCUUUCAAAUUUUAAAGUUUUAGAGUUUAAAAAGUAUGAUCGUACAAAGUAUCCAAUAAUUAAUGUUAUCAUAUAUUGUUGGAAAAUGGCUACCUAUACUAGUGAUGAAAAGCUCUUAAUGCAUAUAUUCCAAGAUAGUUUUACUGGCUCUGAUGUUAAUGGUACAUCUAGCUUGAUUGAUCCCGUAUUCACUCUUGGACGAAGCUAGCCCAUGACUUCAUUAGUCAAUACCGUCAUAUAAUAAAUCUAACUCGUAAUCACCUUUUUCCUGUAGAAUAUGAAAAAAAAGGUGAUCGAGUCAUUCAAGGAAUAUGCCCAAAGGUGAAAGGACGUAGUUACCAAAGUUCAACCAUUUUUUAUUGAAAAAGAAACUAUAGUGCUAUUCGUGAGCACUCUAAAGGCACAUUACUAAGAAAAGAUGAUAGAGAAUGCAAUGAAAAACUUUACUGAUAUGGUGAUUUCAUAAGAGACCAAUGAAAAUGCUAUUAAGAGUGAUAAGCUUAAGGAAGAAACAACCAUUAGUACAAAAAAAAUGCCCAAAUAGAAAAAAGUUAAAACCCAUAAUGUGAAUUUUGAAAGGCAACUAACAGAAGCUAUGCUUUAUAUCUACCAUGUGUUGAACCUCUUUACCACUCUAUAGUUAAUAAAAUUAUGCAGGCCUCUUACCAACCAUAUCCAUAACCAACUUGCUUAUCCACCAACUUAUCGACUAGUUUUUUAAAUACCUACAUAUAGAUCUAGUCAUAUCACUACAUAAACUUUAAGGCCUAACAAUCAAGCAAGUAGUUUGAGAAGAUUUUGAAAUAACUAACAAAAAGCUCGCAUUGAUCUUAUCCCUAUGACUUACACUGAAUUAUUCUUAAAACUAGUCAAGAAUAACCUGAUAUCUGAAGUUCAAUUGAAACCAUUGAAGCCAUCAUAUUCCAAAUGGUAUGAUAUUAAUGCCAUAUGCAAUUACCACAAUGAAAAUAUGGGUCACACUAUAAAAACCCACCAUGUUUUCAAGUAUAAGGUGCAAAGUUUUAUUUGAGCAGGCUCAGUGAGUGUCAACGAAUUAAAAAGGCUGAAUAUCAAUAAAAACUCUUUGCUCGAUUACCCAAGGGCAUAAUUUUAGGAAAAGAUACAAAAAAGCUAGUUGAAAGCUGUUUAUCAUUUUUGGAUUUCUUUUAGAGUAAUGAUAGAAUUUCUUUUAUGUACUAAAAUUUCAUUUUUUAUUAUUUUAAUAAAAAGGGCAAGUAUGAUGCAUUUCAUUACAUUUUUUCUUUCAGCUAAACUACUAUUUUAUUUUUUAUAUUUUUUUCCAUUCUCAAAUUCUAAAUGAUGAAUGUUUGGACAAUGAUAAAUAGUAAUUCUAAGGUUUAAUUUUGAAAACUCAUUCAUAUUGAUCUGUGGAGACUAUUUAAGCAAAAAAAGUAAAUUGUGAGUAGAUAUCAUUCAUGAAAAAAUUAAAUUGAAAUGUCCUGGAAUGAUCCAUGAGUUUAUCUUUGUUCAAUAAAUGGUCCUUAAAAAAAGUAUUAACAUUUGAAAUGAAGAAUGACCGUAUAUUUUUUAAUCAUUCAUAAAAAUAAAAUCAUCCAUUGUUACACUUCUUAUUGUCUAUUAUGAUUUCUUUUCCUUAAAAACCUUAACCAAUGAUCACUUUUCACACUAAUGGACAAGUUUUGAAAAGAUACCCAUUUAAAAAUAACAAAAAAUAAAAAAUCAUAAGAGGUCUCAAGGAUAAAAAAAUAAAAAAAAGAAAAGAAAAUGUCACAAAUGACAUAGGGCAAAGUAAUGAGAAUUCUUUUAUAAGAAAUAAGAUGAAUGUAAAAAGAAAAAAAUGUGAAAUAAUGUGGAAUAGGGCAAAAUGCCAAGUUGUAUCACAUGAUGAGAAAUGAUCAUUUGGUUUGAACCUUUUGAACAUAUAUUUUUAGCCUAUUUUAUCCAUUUCUUUUAUGAUCCUUUACUAUAGCCUACAUUACAACCUUAAAAGUUUAUUUUGAUCAAAUGUGAAUACUCGAAUUGAAUGAUCAUAUAUUAAGCUAAGGCAUGCUUGUAAUAGAAUGAUGGAAUCAUGAUCUGUUCUUAUGUUUUAGAGAUUGAUGUGUAUGAGAUAUCAAUAAUGGAUGAAGUAAAAAAAUGAAAAAAAAAAGAAUACUCAAAUUAAAAACUCGAAAGGACGAUUUAGGUAGAAAAACAUCUAAGCUAGAAAUUGAAUGGGCAGUUAAAUAUAUGAAAGAUCAAUGAUAUCUAAAGAUCCCCUAGAAUUGAGGUAAAGUUUGAUAAGUUUAAAAUGAUUUAAAAGUCAACAUAAUGAGUUUUGAAAAAGAAUUAUAGAUUAAUGUUAAAAAUUGUCUAAAUAUUCAUUGAUUGGACAUUGUUAUACCAUUCAAAUACUUAUCUUAUUUACAUGUUUUGAAUUUUUUGCUUUGCUUAUUUCUUUCUAUACCAAAUUCAUUUUGUAUUGAUUACCCUUACUCUCAAUUUACCUAUCUUUUUUCAUUUUUGUAAUCCUAGAAUAAAUCAAUGAAAUAUAUGAUUACAUUAUAUUUGUCAUGAAUUGAAAUGAUAAUGAAUGAAUGAUAAUGUUUAUAAAAGAUUCUUUCAUUCUUUUAAAAAGAAAUCCAAGAUGACAUGAGCAAAAAUAAAAAAAAAUGAAAAUAUGGAAGAAGCCUGAUAAGAUGAUUUGAAAAAGCAAAUGGGAUGACCAAGUGAUCAAUAUAAUGAUAGAUUGGUCGAUAUAACCCGUAAGUUAUGAUUAGAUGAUGAAAAUAAUAAAGAUCGGUUGAUGGAAUUUGUUUUGAAAUUAUUAGUGCUAAGAAGCUAAAAGGGAAAACAUGAGAUGGUGGAGUCUUGAGAACCUUAUUAUUACAAUUAAUUGAAAUUUCUUGAUAGUGAUGUCAGUGACAUAUGCAUUCCAUGCAUUGAGUUUGCAUUGUUGUUUACAUAGUACAUGUAUAUAAUUUGGUGAAUAUUUAAAUCUUUUGUUUUGAUAAUUGCAUUUGCAUCAUGGUUUGGACAUACAUUUGCAUCAUGUAAUGAACAUUUGAAUCAUGAUUUAAAGUAUUAUGGCAUCUACAUUAUUGUGAGAAUUUGGAUUGUUGCAUUUGCAUUAUUUAAAAAGUAUUUACAUCAUUAUCAUGACAUUCAUUAUAUACAAAUUUUGACUUUGAUGAAAGAUUGAAAAUUUUCAUAAGGAGAAAUUUUGAACUUUUGAGGAAAGCCUAUGAGAAAACUAUUUUAUAAGGAAAACAUUUAAAAUUUUAAAGUUGUUGAGCCUUUUUAAUGAGCAUUUUCAAUGUUGAGAAUGAUUUAUAAGACUUCUGGACAUAAUCUUUAAGAAUUUUCAAAUGCGAAUUUUUAAGUUUUAAAUGAGAAUUUUAAAAUUUUUGAAUGUGAAUAUCUAAGAAUUUUAGCCUUGAGAUUUUAAAUGUGAAUCUCUAAGAAUUUUCAAAUGAGAAUCUUUGAAUUUUAAAUGAGAAGUUUUGAAAUUUUGAAUAUAAAUCCUUAAGAAUUUCAAAUGUAAAUUUUGAAAGUGAAUCACUAAAAAAUUCUUGCAAAUCUGAAAAUUCUUGUGAACCUGAAAUCCUUGAGAAUCGAAUUCUUGUAAAUCUAAAAAUUCUUAUGAAUCAUAAUUCAUGUGAAGCUGAAAUUCUUGCAAAACUGAAAAAGUUUUGCAAAUUCUUAUGAAUAUGAAAAAUCUUAUGAAUUUGAUAAUUAUUACGAAAUUGAAAUUCUUACGAAUCUAAAAAUUUUUGUGACCCUGAAAUCUUUGAUAAUCAAAUUCUUGUGAACCUAAAAUCCUUGAGAAUCAAAUUCUUGCCAAUUUGAAAUUCUUAUGAAUCAUAAUUCUUAUGAAGCUAAAAUUCUUGGAAAACUGAAAAAGUUUUGCGAAUUCUUACGAAUUUGAAAAUUCUUAUGAAUUUGAUCAUUCUUACGAAGCUAAAAUUUUUACAAAUUUGAAAAUUCUUUGAAUUUCUUGUGAAUCUUUAAAUUCUUUUACAAAAUCUUGAAUCUUUUACAAACGUUUGAAUCAUUAUCUUGAAUCAAAUAUAAAAUCUUGAAAAAUCUUUGAAUUCUUUAUGAAUCUUGAAUCUUUUCAAAAUUUUGAAUUCUUUAUGAAUCUUGAAAUUUUUUGUAAACCUUUGAGUCUUUUGCAAAUCUUGAAUCUUGUGAAUCUUAGUUUUCUUGUGAAAUUUUGAAUUGGUUCAAAAUUUUGUCUAAAUUGCUGAUGACAAGGUUAUGUUUUCUGUUACAGAACUUGGUAAGUUGUUUUUAGAAUAAUUUCUUAUGAGGAAGAAGCAUUACUGAUAAUAUUAUAAUCACUCAAAAGAUGGUGCAUACUAUGACACAAAUGAAAGGUUGACAUAGUGGUUUAAUUUUGAAAAUAGAUGUUUAUUAACCAUAUUACAGUGUUAACAAAAACUUUUUGAGGUAAGUCUUAAUUGAUUUUAAUUUUCUAUCAUAAUUGAUUGGAUUAGUUAUGUUUUGUGUUUAAUCAAUCUUCAACUAUUUAGAAUGGUGAAACUCUUCCUUAUUUUUAAUCAUGACUAAGUUUAAGACAAGGUUAUCCAAUAUCUCCAUAUCUUUUUAUCUUGGGUUGGAAAAAUUGUCACAUGGUUUAAGAAAAGGUUCAUCAUAAAUAAUAUAAGCUUGUAAAGAUUUCUAAAAGAGAACCAACUUUAUCUCAUUUAUUUUUUGUUGAUGAUUUAUUAUUAUUUGCUUGUGUAGAUCUGUCUCAAAUUGGUAUGAUAAUGGAUUCCCUUAUUUGUUCUUCCACUUAUAAAGUGUUGCGAAUGGCACCUAUUGAAUUUUAAAAGAUAUGAAUUCAAUGAAAAAAUAAAUUGAUUUAUUAAACAACAUAAUUUGAAUAAUGACAAUAAAGAAGUGAGAGAUCAUUCUAGCAUAGUUGAAAGAUAUCAAGGAUUUCAAACUAUAUCCCACUCAAUCUUUGAAAUAGAAUAAAGAUAUGUUUGGUUUAUAAGAUUAUGACAAAAUAGGAUAAAAUGAUAUUAUGAAUAAGAUUAGAUUAAAUAAUAUCAUUCUAUUUUGUGUUUGAUGUGUACAAAGAUUAGAAUAGGAUAAUUUAUUCGUUGGUCAAAAUUAUCCUUUCUCAAAGUUUAUAUAAUUUAAAUAUUUAUGUAAUUUUUAAGAGUAUAAUAGAAUAUAUAAGUUCAAUCUUAAUAAAAAUAAUCUCUUUCAAUUUGGAUGAUUAAUCCUCCUUGCAUUCUUAUCCAUUUUUUAGAUAUAAACCUAACAUAAUAUAAGAUAAUUAUCAUCUUAUGCGUUAAACAUGGUCUAAGUUUCUUAUACAUUAUUUUUUACAAAAAGUAAUGUAUAAAAAAAUGAUUUUACCAUUAAUUAAGAAGUGUUUGGUGAUUUGGUUUUAUUAGAGCAAAAUAAAGUCAAACAAAGGUUUUAUUGUAUUCUAUGACUAUUUGAUUCACACAAUUUCACACCAUAAAUGGUUGAGGCAAAAUAUACCUAAUGUAAAGUGACAUUUGCAAUAUGUCUUCAAACCAGAAUCUCUCAUGUUAUGAUUUUUUAUUUAUCAUUUAUUGAACUAUAAAACACAUAAUAAAGAUGUAAAUUGAAGAAAUUUAAUUUGACUCAAUGUAAACUUAAUUUUCUUUGUUUUAUUUUAUUUUUUUCUCAAUAAUAUUAUUUAUUUUAUAUAUUUGAUUUUAAUAAUCUUUUUUUUCAAAAGGUUUAAUUUUUUUAUGAAAUAUAAGUCGUGUAUAUGUAUUUUAUAUAUAUCACAAUUUUUGAAGAUUUAGAUAUAAUUACAUGAGGAAUACUAAUUUUAUAUAUAAUAUUUAAUUUUAAAAAAUUAAUCUAUGCAUCAAAUGAACUAAUUAUUAAUUUAGUAAAUAUAUAUGAUAGGAAUGAGGACAAGCCAAGGAUUAUGUUCCUUUUCCCCUCACAAUGGCAAAUCAAAGUCCUCUCAUCCCCGCUUUCGUUUUCAAAAUUUCAUUUCAAACCUAUCAUUACUUAUUGUAUUGAAGAGUUUGAAUCUUUCCAAGAAAAAAAAUGGUUUUCACUUUUAAACAUGAAUCAAACUUUGUAAAAAAGCUUAAAUUUUUUUUAUAUAGGUGAUUACAAUAUAAGAAUAAAAAAAUUUUAAAUGAUAAAUUUUAAAUUUAUUAAAUAUUAUUUUUUUAAAAAAUAAUUACAUAAAAAAUGAUACACUUCAAAUAAAUAAGACUUAUGCUAUAUUUUUUAUGAUUUGAAUACUGAAUAGAUGCACAUAAUAUAAAAUAACUAGGUUAUGACUCGUGCAAAAUAAAUAAUAAUUUUAUUUAUUUACUAUGAGUAUGUAUAUAUAUAUAUAUAUGUAAAUUAGUUUUUUUUAAAUUAUAUUUAAAUCUUUAAAAUUUUAACAUAUAUAAAAUUUAUAUAUACUGACUUUGUCAUUAAAAAGUAAACUUUUUUUAAAAUAGCAAGAUGAAAUUAUGUCUUUCCUUUGGAUCAUUUUUGUUUACAGUAAUAUUUAUAUACUUGUAAAAUUAUAUCAAGUAAAAGUAAAUUAUAUCUUUUUUAAAGAAAUGGAAACAUAUAUAUUAUUUUAAGAUGAAUUAAAUAAUAAAAGAAAUAUUAACAUAUUUUCACUUUUGUAAAUUUGACUGAAUUGCUAUACAAAAUAUAAAAAAUAUUAGAAGAUACGUAAAGAAAGUUAAAAAAUUAUUUUUCAUAAGAACUAAAUUGCAAUAGCAAUAAAAUAUAUUUUGAAAAAAAAGUUAUAAACAAAAAAAUUAAUUGCAAUAAUAAUAGAAUAUACCUUAUAAAAAGUUACAAAUUAAAAAAAAUAAAAAACUUAAAUAACAUAUUACAUUGAUAGUUUUAAACAUGUAAAAAAAUUCUUUAGUGGUAAUUAUGAUUAAAUAAAUAAUUUUUAAAUUAAUUUUUUUUAAAAUUUGAAAUGGAUAUAAUAUUUGAUAAAGAUGAAAUCAAAUUUUUUGUAUAUAUUUGAAUAAUAAAUUUGAUAAUUAGAUUUGAGAUGGAUAUAAUCUUUUUGAUAAUCUUAUUAUUUAAAGAUUUAAUAUGAAAAAUUGUUUGAGUUUUUAGAAUCUUAGAUAAAAUUGUUUGAUUUUUUAAUAUCUUACAUAGAUUUUUGAAAAGAUAAUUUUUUAUUUAUUCAAAUUAAGAUAAAAAAAGAUGGUCAAAAACUUUGGAUAAAUCUAAUAUUUGUAAUUUUUAAAUAUAUUUAAAAUAUUUUGAUAAUUAAGUAAUUUUUUAAAUAAAAUUAUUUGAUAAACAACUAAAAUUAUUUAUUAAGAAGAUAAAAUUCAUAUUUUUAAUUUUUAAUUUUAAAAAAUAUACUUUUAUAUUGACUUUAUUUUUAAUUAUAAUUUGAAUAAUUUUGAUAUUUAAAUAAAUUUAAAAUUAUGUAAUUUUAAUUAAAAGAAAGUCCCUUAUUUUUUUAAAAAAUAAUUUUAUGUAUCAUUCAAAAGAGUUAUUCGUAUAAAUAUCUAUAUAACAAAUAUAUUUAUCUAUAUUGUAAUAUAAUAUAAUAUAAUAUUUUAUAUAUAUAUAUAUAUACAUAUUAUAUAGGAUUGGUAAAACAACUUUCUUUAUAACAGAAACACGGUAUGAUUAAUAUGAAAUUGACAUCCUUAAAAUAUGAUCAGUACCAAACGUCAGUUUUGAUUUUUCCAUCAAGUAACAUGGGGAACACUAAGUAGUACGAAAGCGAUUUUUUUUUCUCGUAUUGCAGUGCAAAAGGCGCGUUAAACCCGCGUCCGCACUCCCAACAUAAAAAAGCUACAUCAACACGCCUACUUUUGGAUCACACGCGGCUUGCAGCAGCUUCCCUCUUUCUUCUUUCUACUUCUGUAAUCCCACUUUUUGGUUUAACUAAUUACAUUUUGGAAGCUUGUGCUCUUCGAUCAUUCAAAAAACAAAAAUAUCUUUGAGGAUAGUAAAUUAAGUCAUUUUAAUCAUGAUACCGACAUAAAAUUAAUGUAAAAAAUAAAAUAAUUUAAAAUUUUAAUAAAAAUUAUAUGAAUUUUAAAAAAUUAAAAAAUAUAUUUUUUAUAUUUUAUUAGUAUUUAAUAUAAAAUGAAUAUGAUAUUAUAUAUAAUAUUAUGUUAUAACAUAUAUAUAAACUUGAUAAAAUUUACUUACGUAGAUAUUUAGGUAAACAACCUAUAUUAUUAACACAUAGGAUAAUUUUAAAUAACUUUAUUUAAUCAAUUAUUUAAUUUUUAAAAAUUUAAAAAUUUUACAAUUUAGAUUUAUUCAAAUCUUUUCAAAGUAUAUAAGUUUUAUCCUAAUUUAAACUUGAAAAAAUAUAUCUCAUACCUCACCUAUACCAAUAUAUAUGAAAUAUAAAAUUUAAAUAGUUUUUGAAUAUUAAAUCCCUAAAUUUUAGGAACCGUAAAAAAUCAUGCACUAUCUAAAUUAAUAUUCACAUAAAUUUAAAUACAUAAAAGUUUGUAGAUGAAUCACCAUUGUUUACCAUUUUUUUAUCUGUAUUUUUCUAUGAUUUUUUUUAAAACAUUAUUUAAAACAUAAAGGAGAAAGAUAUUUUAUUUCAAUUUAAAAUUACAUACAUAUCUAAAUUUAAAACUAUACUAACAUCUUUUAUCUUAAUUUAAAAUUAAAUAUGGAUAAAUUACAUUUUUAAAAAUUUAGAAUUUUUUAAAAUUAAAUAAUUAUCAAAUAUGAUUUCUUCCCCCAAUCAAUAUUUUUUUCUUUAUAAAAGAUUGAACAAUUAGAUUUUUGUCACAAAAAUAUGACAUGAUAAAGUUUUAAAAAUAAAUAUGAAAAAGUCUUUCGUGAUAUAUCACAUGUGUAAAUUUUAGUUUUCAUACUAAAAUAAUAUAUAAUUUUAAGAGUAUAUGUAAUUGUACAUAAGAGAUUGAUUUUCUCAUUGAGAUUUGUAUGUAAUUUUAUUUUUAUAAUUCAAAACUUUCAUAGUAUUUAUUUAAAUUCAUUCAUAAUAAUUUAUAUAUAGACGGUUUUGUAAUUUUAAAUCACAAAUUAUAGAUGAAUAGAAAUAUUUUUAUUUAUUUAUAUAUAAUAUAAAAAUUAGAAAGAAUUAAAAUUUUAAAUUAUGAAAAAUAUAAUAAAAAUUCUUUACAUUGUACAGGUAAAAAAACUAGUAAAUAUAUAAAUUAUUAAAUCUAAUGAAUAAAAAGAAUCUAAGAACUUAAUCCAAAUAAUUCAUCCAUAGUUCUUAAAAGAUGAUUCUAAUAAAAUUAAUGUUCAACUUUUAGUAUAUAUAAAUUUUCCUUCCUAAAUUUCUUUUAGACUUCAAUCUCCUAUCCGACAAAAAAAAAAAAAAUCUAAAGGAUCGAAAGCAUGAUCAAAAUUAUAAGAAAAAUACCAGACCUGGUGGCAUGAUUGCAUGUCCCAUUUCAUGCUCCCAUCCUUCCACCUCUUCCAUCCCUUUGUCCCCCUCUAUUUUAACUCUGACAUUUUACGCAUAAAGAAAAAUAUAAUACGCAUAAGUUUUGCAAUAUUAUUUGAUUUAGACAAUGAUUUUUAUGUUUAUAAAAACUGUUUUGGCAAAAUAUUUUGAGUUGUUAAUUUAUAUGAUUAUAUUAUUAUUGAUUUUAUUGUUGUUUAUCGCAUGUAUUACGUGUAUAGAUAUUGACAUAAACGUGUAAAUGUUAAGUAAAAUUUUCUAAUUUGUUGGCAUAUUUUUGUUUUAUCUUUUAGAUUUAUUAAUUGGUUAGGAUAUUUUAUUUUUCAACAUAUCUAUUGAGCAGUUUUAAGUUGGCCACCAAAUUUAAAUGUUUAAAUCCGAGUAUUCAUAAGUACCAUAGGAUUGAGAAUGCCCAAUUGACUUUUUUAAAUUUUAAGUUUGAGUUUGAAUUUGAUUCAUCCUUUUUAAAUUAUAAGUAUUAUUAAAAUAUAUAUUAUAUUAUUAUUUUAACACUUUUAAAUAUAUAUUUUAAUUAAAUUAAAUAAAAAUAUUUUUAUUAAUAAAAUAAUAUUACGUGCUAGAGGAUCGGUCAACCUGGACCUAAAUAAUCUUGUCCCAAAUUGAUCUAGUUGAGUCAAAUCUGUAAGCCCAUUGGAUAGCCCAAUCUAUGGAUAAGUCUAGUUGUCCCUACUCUAUUUUUUUUUUUUUCCAACUUUGCAUAAAAGACGUGUUUGUGCACAUGGUAUUAAAUGAUUUUAUAUUUCUGUUUCAAGGAAUUGAUGAUAAGUUAAUAUUUUUAACUAUUAUAAAUUUUUUAUUGAGAAUGGAAACACUAAAUAAUUUAAAUUUUAGAUUUUUAAUUGGAAAAUAUAAGUUUUAUAUAUAUUAUGUAUGUGUAAUUAAAGUUGUAGUGGAUGGAUUUGAUAAAAGCAUAACUAUUUUACAAAAUAGUUAUAAUUUAUUUGUUUUUGAGAUCAUAUGUAUUAUUUAAAAAAAUAUAUACUUUUAACUUUUCUAUUAAGAAAAUAAAAAGCUUUAACAUAAUUAAAGUACUGUUAUUAAAAAACAAGAAAGAAAUGAACAAAAGGGGGAAAUAUUGAAAUAAAGGGAGAAAUAUAAAAUAAAAAUAAAAUAAUGGUGAUAUCACGAAAAAAACAAAAUAAAAAUAAAAUGAUAUGAAUUCGAAAUUCUUAAUAUAAGAGUUAAUAUCACGAAUAAUUCUUAAAAUAAAAUGAAAUAUUUAAUGUGAUGCUUAAAUUUUAAGAAUAUUUAAUAUGGAAUGAUGAUACAUAAUAAAUAAAUAACUUUAAAAAUAUCACAUUAGUUAAUAAAUUCAUAAUUCAAGUAUUAAUUCAGAGAUUUUUAAAAUUAAAAAUUAUAUUAAAUAUAUUACUAUAACUUAAAGGGCAACUCAUGAGAUUAACCAUUAACAUAUUUGAAUAUUUAUACUUCAAUCUCAAAAUAAAAUAAUGACACAAUAAAAAUUGUUUUCAUUGAUAAUCUAUACAAAGCAUAUAAAUUGCUUCCAAAUUAUGUUUUCUCCAAAAAAAAAAUUAUAUUAUUUUAUGUUUUUAUAUUUGAUAUAUUGUACUAUCAAUAAGUUUAAUGAUAUCAUCUUAUUAACAAAAAAAUAUUAACUCCUAAAAUAAAUAUAUAAAAAAUUAAUAUUAAAAAAAAUUUACUCAUUAAUAAUAUGAUAUCAUCUAAUUUAUCUCAUUAAUGAGAUUAUAUUACAUAAGAUAUUACAUAAAAUCUGUACAACAUUGAAUAUAGAUCAUGUUUGGUGUGUAGGUGUUGAAUAAUAUACAAUAUUAAUCAUUAUAUAUUAUAUUUGAUUUGUAUAUAAAAAAAAAAUUAUAUGAAAGAUUAAUUAUCUUUUUAAUAUAAAAUUAUUUAAUUCUCUCAAAAUAGAAAAAAUUAAUUUUAAUUCAUAAGAUUGAACUUAUAUAUUCUAUUAUAUCCAUAAAAAUUAUAUCAAUAAUUUAAAUUAUAUAAAUAUUUAAUAAAAAAAUAAGUUUAAUCAAUAAAUAAAUUAUUUUAUUUUAAUUUUUAUACAUAUUAAAUAUAAAAUAAAAUAAAAUUAUUUAAUUUAUUUUUUUUAUAAUUUCAUUUUAUUUUAUUAUAUCAUAAUAUCGUGUAAUAAGCGUAUUUAUGAACCCUCAUUGGUUUCCUGGGGCCAAGGAAAGUGAGAAAAAGGAGGUCCAAACACGUGGAAACAGCAAGGGACAGUAAAGUAAUAGCAUUACAGGCUGUAUUUAAUUGUUUUUUCUGUUUUCCCACCACGGUUAUAAAAGCCCAACCCCGCGCUCCAGUUUCUCUCCCACCGCCCAUAUUGGAAACCAAAAUUAGUCCUCCAUUUUCCUUUCUUUAAGCAUUUCAAAAAACCAUGUCGACGAUAAAACCAGACACCACCCAGAAAACCUCCUCCAUCUCCCAGGAAAACAUGGACCAACUUCAAAAAGUGUUCAACCAAUUCGACGCCAACAAGGAUGGCAAGAUCUCGGUAACGGAACUCGGCGACGUAUUGAAAACAAUGGGUUCUAGCUACACAGAGGAGGAACUUAAACGUGUCAUGGAAGACAUCGACACCGACAAAGACGGCUUCAUCAACCUCUCUGAAUUCUGCUCCCUCUGCCGCUCAUCUUCCGAUGCUGUCACCGCCGCCUCGGAGCUACGCGACGCUUUCGAUUUGUACGAUCAGGACAAGAACGGCCUGAUUUC